ACUCUAUUAUUUAAUUUAAUUAAAUAUUAGUUAAAUAAUAGAUUUACCAUAAAAUUAGAGAAAUUAUAUAUUAAAAAUGUUUAUGUCCAAAGUUGAUUAAACGUAAGACAUAACACUUACACUUUGUCGAGUUAGACGAAAUUUUAGAGAAAGCUAACUUUCUACUACAAAAAUAUAAACAAAAGUUAAAAAACGAUAUUUGGAUCCAUCGACUUUAAUUUGUGCGAAUCAUCCUUGUGUCUAUUUCCUUCGUUGAAGUUUUUAAAAUAAUGAAUUUAUCCUCGUGUUUCAAUAAACCAAAAGCAAAAGAAGAAGAAAACUAAAAUAAAGAAAUAAUUUCAACAGGAAUAGUAAAUCUUUCCAAAAAGUGCCAAUAAGUUUCACUAAUUACAAUUUGUUCAUUUAAAAAAAGAGUAAAUUUGUCAUUUUACAAAACUUAAAGCGGUUAAUGAAAGAUACAAACAAUAAGGAUGUUUCGUACAAAGAAAGAACAAUCUGAGUAACCAAAUGCCAAAAUUAAAAUCAUGGGGAUGAUUUGCUCAAUGAAGACAAAUGAUAUGAAUGUUUUGCGGCAAUUACCAUCGCAUAUCACAAAUGUCAAAAUGCACCUCUAUAAAGUAUGCCUUCAUUGUGAGUGAAAGAGUUAAUUUCAUCUGAUGCCAUUGGAGCCCAAGUGGUAACCAGGCUUCUACAAUGAGCACCAUUCAUAUCUCCGUUCUUUGUGGUAAUCAUCAGGCAUUACCUGGUUUCUGAAAUAAGACACCAACUUCUAAGAACAGUUCAUAUAAACAAUUUUAACCUAAACAAGUGGACAUAAAUAAGCAGCAUGCUAGAGGGAAUGCUCUGAUGCAGAAUCCGCGGGGCUCAUGGCCUCUCAGGCCACAAUACAACUACCAAGCAACCAAUGUAAAUUCUAUGAAUCCAUGUGAAACCACUAUCUAAAUGAGGCAAGAGCCUCAUCCCAGAAGAACUCCACCAAGUUUAUAACUAAACUCACUAAUCAAAAUCCUAUAUCUUUCAAAUAAAAACGGACUUUUGAACAAACGAUUAAUCUCUAAAAGAAAAUUCUUCCUAUCUAUCGAAUACCAAAAAAAAUGGAUUUAAAAAUACAAAAAAUUCAAGUACGAAAAAUCCUUUCAGCAAUCCAGAGGGAAAAUACACUAUUGACUUUAAUUGGUAACUGCUAAAAGUUUUAUCAUAAUCAAGACAAUAAUUCAAGGAAAAUUGAAAAAAGACAAAAGUGUUUACAACUAUAAAAACAUUUGCCUCAGAGGUAGUGACAAUCUUGUAUCAUCAUCAUCAUCUUUUAUCUCUGAUAAUACUUAUUAUAAGAAAUGCAUCACAGGCAAACCAAAAACAUAAAUUCAGGAAACAUAUGCGUGGUAUGGCAUCAAUUAUUACAAUUUUUUAUGGUAGUAUAGCUGCCUCGCGAUGAUCCAGCACAAUUAGACCAAACAUAACACAACCUAGAACAAGCACAAGGUCAAAAAAGAAAAUCGUUUGGACACUGGGAGAAUGCCUCAGCUGCGAUGAUUCAUAUGCAUAAAUAAUCAUAGUUUAAUCUCAUAAUUAUGCAAUAUAUGCAUCACUGGCAUACCUUUCACAUUCUUCGGUAAGCACAAGGUAGAAUUGAUUGCAAAAUAAAUAAAUAAAUAAAAUUUAGAUUAUGCAUCAGAGAGAUUCCCAUCGACAAAUCAUCAUACUCUCAAGAGAGUUCUGAUGUCCCUGUCUGUUUUAUCGUCACUUGCAUUAACAAAUUUAUUUAAAUUAAUUAAAUCAAAUUACAAAAUAUUGUAUUUCAGCGAAAGGAAUCAAGUUCAAUAAAUUUAUAGCCAAAAAUAAAUAAAUAACAAAUUCAAAAAUAGGAAGGAACAAAAUCAGGUUUAACGCCUCGGAACCUCAGAUUAAUAUUCGUUUCAUAGUGAAAUACUCGAAGUAUAUUUAACACCAUCAUCGGCGGAGGCUUAUUUCAGUGUAAGAUUUUAAUCAAACAAGAAAAUGAGAAUUCCAAGAAAAAAAUAAAACCUAAAUUAAAAACCGACAUUGAAAUUAAAAUGUGAAUUAAUCAACAAAUAUAUUGACAAUCAAGAAGAAGAGAUUAUCGACUUAACAGUGAAACGAAUUUCGUUUCAGCUCAACAUCAUGGCGACGGCUGUGAUUUGUAGUUAUAUAUAUAGCAGUUUGCAUUUGAAGAGUUGGGGACUCGGGCUAGGGUUUAAGAAUGGAUCACAAAUAUUUGCAAAUACACCCCUGUAGGCUGUUCUUUUCGCUUAAAUGCCUAGAGGCUAAGGGCAUAUUUAGCAAAGUUUAUAAUUGCUUAUGAGUCGAUCAAACUAUGACAUUGUUUAGAAAAAUCUCCCAACAACUUAUUUUGGCAAAAAUGCCUAAUGUAAUGCUACUAUUAUUAACAACAAUAGGGGUACCUCUUGUUUUCUGGCCUGAUGGAACACAUCCCGGGAUUAACCUCUCUCAUGAUACUCCAAGAAUGGAACGGUGAAAGAUCCUUAAGGUUGGAGUUCAACCUUUAAUAAUAGGGUAGUUAUACUAAUAUCACAUUUUUCAUAGCAACCUCAUUAUUAAUCAUCUAUUAGUUAGCAAAUCGUGUCCCCAUUUAUAAUUUUUGUCCAAAAUUUCAGUUUAUUUGCUCUAGAAUGAGAGACAAAUAUUUAGCCACAGAUUUAUAUUUAUUGUAUUUUUUGUUUAUUUAAGAAUACCAUUGAUAAGUAAGUGUUUUUCUAUCUUAUAACGAAUUUAUUGGAAGUGUAUCGUCAUUAGGGAUAAUAUGUUAGGUAUUUACACUGUUUGGUGGGGAUUAUUUUAAUAUAUGUCAAAGUCAACAAUUAAUUUUAAUUACAUAUUUUAUGGGACUCACAAUUUUUCUACCAUAUAUUUCAUUAACUUUUAUCAAAAUAUACUAAAAAUCUAUUUUAAUUCUCACCAAAUAGGGGCUUAAUGUUCUUUUCCCCAAUGAUUGUUUAAUCUUUGUAUGACAGACUUCUAAAUCUCUUUCGUUGACAUAUAAAUCGCAGGUCAAUGGAUAAUCUAAAGAAACUAUAGAGGAUGAAUUGCAAGUACUUAUGCAUCAAUUGUUCAGCAACUAAAAUAUUGCGUAUUUUUUAGUCGCUUCAGAUUCCUUUGGUGAAGAAUAUGAUCAAAAAUGGUGUUCAAGAAUACUAUUAUUAAUGAUUUUUUAGAAUAUCUAAUGUUUAUAUUAAGUUUCGAUUCAUUAAAAUGUUCAUUUUAACGUACCAGAUAUGAUUUUGAAGGACGACUUUUUACAUAGUGAUUAUCAUGUACUACAAAGCUUUACCAAACUAAAAAUGAUAUUGAGCAACACACAUAAAAAAGAGAAAUAUUUGAAAAUUAAAGUGUAAAUUCGGUUUCAGGUUCAUCCCAAAAAUGAAUUUGAGCAAAGAAAACGGUUUGGACCAAACGACAUACUAUACACAUGAGAACGUAGCAUUCCAGAGAAUUUUUCUUGUCGAACUCUUGUCUGGAUUAAGCAUGAGGAACUCUACAAACACUCAGCAAUGGUCCAAAUCUUGUGAUCAUGACUGACUGAACGAUUGAAGCAACUACGACACAAGUACUCCAGCUCAAUAUUUUCAUUUACAUGAAUACCGAUCAUGAUUAUACUCGAGACUCCAAAUCAUUAGAAGGGCUUAAUAAGGAGAAGAAAUAUCUAUUCUAGACCAACGUAUACCAUCUGCCACCGCACAUUGGGCAGCCAUGUACCCAGUGGCUGAUCCACCAUUUUACUUUCAUGUUUUGAUUAACACUACUAGAACCAGAAGAAGCAAAAGCUGAAGUUUGCCGCAAACAUCUUAUGCACUGCAAGAAGCAAAAAUUGUAUAGGAUAGAGAACAUUCAAGACAAUCUAGAAGUCAUGGAGGAAAAGCAAAAUAUCAAAUUCAUUACCAAAUGAAAUGGUAACUUGUACCAGACUUCUCCAAUCUCUCUUUUCCACAAAGCUGUCACCACAUCUCUUUGGGAACCUCUUAGGCGCGAUGAAGUGCUCAAUCCACGAGCUACAUUUCUUUCAGACAUCUUACGUUUCUUGGACCACAUGUCAUGAGCUCCAUAAUGAAUAUCCGAUAAGCUGUUAGAUUCAUCUGCAACACUUGCAUCCUCUGGAUCAGACCGAAGUUCCAUAAUCCUCCUUUGCCAUUCUUCACUUGGAGAAUGGAUUUCCAACUUCCGUAGAAGCAACCUUUCAGCGUCUGCAUCUGUAGGCAGGGUUAUGCCCUGCACGAAAAAUAUGUUAAUAAAUGGAAAGGACAUGCAUUUAUGUCUUAGAUUUCAUUUUAAGUGCGAUAUCAAUUUAGUCACGGUUGCUAAGCUAAUAGUACAUAACUGAAAGCAGACAACUUCAUCAAGAGAUAAGUACCUGCGUACGAGAGUCAUAUAAUGCAAUCUCUGGCAAAUCAAUGCAGUUUCCUUCAAUAUAAUGAAGACAAACCUUGAUGUUCCUGUGUCCAACUUGAGAAGCUGGCAAUGGAUGUGACAUCAAUUCCAUCCACUCACAAAGCUGUCGGAGUAUGAGAAAAAGGACCUUCACCUGGAUAAUCCAACAAUCACCUAAGAAUAUGAGGAAGAGACUUUCCUAAUUACAGCUCAAUAUCCACAUGGAAAGGGAAAAACGCAGUUCACGUGUAACUUGAACGAGUUGAUCACUUCUUAAGAGAAGAUGUCACAAGCCUACGCCGUUUUCAUGCAAUACAGAUAGCACUUACCUAAUUUUUUUUAGUAUUAUUUAGAUAACUCAAAUGUGCAAGUAAUGACUCAAAUUUAUUGAUUCUUCAUGUUUACGUAAAUAAGAUAUUUAUAAAAAAUAUGUUGCCGUAUUUAUUGAUGCAUUAGUAGCUCAACUUUGCUUUUCCACCUAGAUACAGCUGUGAAACUGUCUUGAUAUUGCUUUUGCUACCAAAUACUAGUGAUCCUGGAAAACUAAAUGUCGAAGAUAACAGUUCAAGUAAAAAUUAAAUGUUACAAUGUUGAAUAUUCUGCUGUCUUAGACAUAACGAGAUGUCAAGGAAUACACAUGCACUAGUUUUGAGCACCUCUCCUCAGAGAUUUGAAGAGAGAUCAUUUUACCUCCUGUCAAGCCAGAAGGUUCUUUUAUUUUUUUUCUGAUGAGAGAUUUGAAGAGAGGUCAUGUUACCUCCUUACAGGUAUAUCCUCGACCAGCAUAGCCAAAACCAGAUUCAGGCAGCGCUAGAUUGUCCAUUCUGCGAUAUAGAAAAUUCUCCACAGAUCCCAAUGUUGAAUUCUUCAUUCUGUGACUGAAAGGACCCCUUAAGGAUCAGAAAGGGACAUGUAACGCCGUGCACAACCCACAUAACAGAACAAUGCUCAAACCAAUCUUUGAAGGGUAAAACAAUCAAUAUGCGAGAGCUCGAGAAAAAAGACAAGUACUUGUCAAUACCUUCAGCUAUCACAACAUCUAUCACUGAACUGCCACAUGCUGGUUCAAAGGCAAUAGCAUUGAGCCCUGUUGGGGUUUUGAUACCUAAUAAAUACUGGGCUAUAAUGUUAACGUGGAUUAAUUAUUUCAUAGGCAAAGGCCGAUGAAUGAAAUAAAUCCAACAACCAAAUCCAUGAGCUCCACCCGGCCCAAUUGUAUUCCAUCUUGGAUGACUUCAAUCUUGACCCGUUUAAACCUCUUAAAGGUCCAAUUUAAAACCUAACCCUAGAGUAUAUAUAAAGCUAUAACCCUAGGUACUUUCUUGUAUGAUUUGUGUGGUUUUGUGAGAAAAAUAGAAGAAUCCCGAUUGCCCCCUUGGGUGUGUGAAAAACAGUUCCAAGAAGUGUCCAAAACGUUUGUUUACUUUGUGUAAUUGGUGGUUCCUUCAUAACCUACCUUUGUGGUGUCUUCUCCUAGCCCUUGCGGUCACAAAUCAUCACAUUUUCUUGUCCUACGUGGGUAAGAUUGAAAAGCAACCAAAGUGAAUUAUAUUGGUUGUGGUUUGGAAUCGAUUGGAUUGGUUGUUGGUAGAAAAAGGUAUGUUGGACUGAAUCCAAAAAGUACCGAAUUGAAGAUUCUUGGAGAAAGCUUUCACAACAACCCCAAAAUAUCGAGUUGUAGCUAUUGAUAAACUUGGCUACCUUAUGGUCAAAGAAGGUUUAAGGCAACUUGCAAUCAAUGAAAGCCCUUGGAUCAAGAUUAAUCCUAGCCAUUAAUGCCAACUUGCAUACCUUGAGUUUGCCUAUAAAUAAAGGGACUUGGGCCGCACGGUUCUAGUUAUUCAGGUGUAAUGAAACUAGGUCCGUGUCAAGUGAGUGGGAAAAUGAGAUAGACUUCUGGCAAAUAAGGUCUAAGCUUCGGCGGUACAUGACGAUGAGGGCGUCGCCAAAUUUAGCGCGGAGCAAGCUAGCCCCUAUGUUGGUCGGGUGGAAGAGGGCAUUUCCAUUGCGAAGGUUGGGCCGUAGCCUCAGGAUUCACACGUGCAAAAAAGUUUGAAACUUUUGAACAAUGAAUAGCUACCAUAUUGCCAUAAUCUUGCUCCGUGUGUUUCAUCCCUCGCUUUUUUUCUAAUAAGAAAAACUCCUGCCAGCCAAACAAGUAUGCAGCGGGAGGGGCAAAACCAUCCCAAGGAGGAGAGUUAAGUGACGAGCCUUAGGGGUAUCUUGAAAACUUUUUCUAAGGCCAGGAGUAACCUCCCAAAUGACAACAGUCAAUGUGUUUGCAAUUGGAACACCAGCCACAUGCAAAGCACCAGAAUCUGUAACAAUUGCAUCAGCAGCCUUAAUCCCACUAGGUUCUGCUAUCAAUAGAACAUUACUUGUGCAAAACCAUUUUGUUCGUCCACCACUCUGAUUAGGAGGCCAUUGGGACCAAUGGAGCUGAACAGAGCCCGAGGAGAAAACAGAGCGCACACAGAAAUUUGGCCAACCAGUUGUUAAAAAAAAAAUCAAAUUGCAUUAGUUAAUGAGACUUAAUCAGAUGUUAACAUCUGCUGAAAGAUGAUUCAUGGGAUCAAAAAUCAAAUAUAAUUAUCGUCAGUUAAUUACAAACAGACAGUACCCACGGAAAACUAUGAGCAAAGCACGGGGAGAGGAAGUAGGUGACCACUCAAUAUAGUGAACACCAUCAUCGUGAGAAUCUGUUGAAACAUCGAAAAUCAUAGAUGAUAAUUCAAAAAUAAUACAAAAACCUAGUAGUAAAUCAUCAUGAAAAAUGAUGAAAACUACAUUAAAAGAAAAGAAAAGAAAAUAAAAUCAAGCUAGCUAAUAGUGUAUUACACCACCAUGUCAAGUAACUUGUCUUCUGUUUGAAGUCAUCAAUUUUACAAUCAGUUAUUAUCACAAAUUUCCUCCUAAUUUUCAUCUACACAUAAUACUAAACAUCAUAAUCAUCCUUGCAUUACAAAUGCUUAAAUUUAACAGGCCUUCUUAUAUAUGCAGAAUGCAUUUAGAUUAGGCUGGUUAAAGCAAGGCAGCUGUUAGCCUAAAAAAAAAUUGCAAAACACGAGAUGUCAAAUAAAGUAAAAGCACCCAUUCUAGACUUUUUCUUACCCACAUGAAGAAUCAUUAAGAAAAUUGUACAAUAGCACAUUCUUUUGGACUCUAGACAAAUUGCACAACGCCGUACAAUAUUAGCAUCAAUUUGUAGAAGAUACCUGCUUUAACAUUGUGAAUAAUUGUACUUUCCGUCAGCCUCUCUGGAUUCAGUAUAUAUAUAUAUAUAGGAAGAAAUGAAUCUGGCAUUGAUUAUGUAUUGAACAUUCAAUGGCAAAAAAUAGAUAAAUAAUAUUGACUUCUGCAACUAGUAGACAGCACGUAUAGAGUACAAACUAGUGAUAAUAUCGAUAAUCAUUUUCGUUUGAAAAAACAUGCAACUUAAACAAAUUAUUUUAGAGCCUUUGACUUGUUAAGGGAAUAAAUCCAGGGUAAAUAUCAAAAUAUUGAACAACUUAAAUAGAUCUUGGACCAAUCCACAUUAUUAAGAUGGACCACAAGUCUUUAACAACUUUGGUUAUCAAAACAUUACACUUCCAUUUGAUUCCAUUUCGAGUUGAAGAGGUUCCAAAGCCUUCGAAAAUAAACGAAAUGUAAGUGUAAAAUGGUCAUGCCAAAAUCAAGAAAAGGAUUAUUAAAGUUUGAUCCAUGAACCUUGAGGCUGUUGCACAAGUUUCUGCUGCACAUGUAUAUGUGCGCACGCGCGCGAAAAAAAUCCUAAUAAGAAAAAGAAAAAGAAAAAUGCUGGAACUCCAGGGAUUAAAUCGUGGGAUUGGCUCCAUGGCCGAGGUGGCGUGACCUCGGCCCCUGAUUUGAAUUCGGCGGGCUCCAUGUGAUGCAACAUCGAGGUCCGAGGUGAGCCAAACCCGGGAUUUAAUCCGGGCUCUGAAGCUUCCCUGUGAUAAAAAUGGGGAGGGCGUUGACUAAAAUGACGUAAGAGAGCAGAUACAUGCUUUCGACACUGGGCUUAGUGAUUUGUGUAUUGGGCCAUUGGAUUAGUUUGUUGGGUCUUUUGGAAAGAAGAUAAGUAGGCCAAAUAAUUAGAUCGUUUUGUGGGUUAAGUCUUGGACAAGAAAUUAGGCCUACCAUAUCGGACCUAAAGAUGAUUCUAUAUCUUUGGUAACAAUUAUACGAUAAUACUAUUUAGCAUCAUUGAUAUUACAAUUCAUUUAAACGUCACUACGAUAUACAAUUAAAUAAGUCACAUAUUUUUUUAGCAUAUCACAGUAUCAUUGAUGUUGUAGCACCAACUUUGCUAGAUGAAGAUUAUUUAAUAAUUAAAUGUGCCAAAAUGUCUGGGUCCUGCCCUAUUAGAAAUUUGGGGCCAUUUUCUACCUGAACCUGCUCUUAUUUAUUUAAAAAUAAAAAAUAAAUUCAAACGAUAAAUGAGAAAUAGAAAUAUUUUAAUAGUGUCUUGUCCAUCGGAUAAUAAGGGUUCAUUUGAUUGAUGACAUGUACUAUUUAUGGCGGUCAUGAUAUCAUAUCUAAAAUUUGUGUAAUGGGUAGAAGAAUUAAAGCUCACUGUACAGAUAAAAUGUACACGAAUUUUUACUGAUAAUGAGGUGGCAACAUUAAAUUGAUUACUUUGAAGUUUUUGUUAAAUGUUCAGUGAAAUUAUGCAAUCUGUCAAAUUGUUUGGCAAAAAAUUCUAUACAUGUAGCAUGAUUGGACAGAAAAGGAUGGCGACAAAAUUUAGCAGCAUAAAGUUUUUUGUGCAUGGAUGGCGAAUAUUUUUUCGAAAUUUGUUAUUUGUACACAUGUGUACACGCCCCCUCACAAGAAGGGAGGCCCGCCUAUUUUUUAUGGAAUGGUUACAAUUCAAUUGUCCAUACCCUGCCAGCCAGCCUACUCUGGAACUAAAUUAUUUGAAAACACAAACAUUAGAUUUAGCACGUGUGGCAAGGAGUGUUUACAUGUAUGUAUGGAGAAAUUGUAACACCAACUUCAAUUUAUGGUAUUCUUGCAAACGGGUCAACAAAUUUAUUUUUUUGAACAAAUAGUUACUCAACUUCUUAAAGUUAUGACACCAUAAUUCUCGAUUUACAGUUUCUAUCGAUUUUACUGACUAAUUUUAUCAUAAUGUUUAAAUACAAAUAAUUUGAAUGAAAAGAUGAAAAAUAAGAAAAAGAGAAAGAAUAGAAAUUCUUAACUUCACUACGCAAUCAUGUUCUCGCCUGCUAAACGUGCCACUGUCAACUUCUUUUCCCACCACUUCGAGUAUGAGAAAGUCUGCUGGUAGAAAUUCUUUAGGAUGCAUUACAAUUUUUCACUAAAGGGGUAAGUCGAAACGAUUGCAACAUUGAUUUGAAGUGAAACCCUCAUUAGUCAAUGGAGAAAUCCAUUACACAAUAUCUUUGACUUGUAAACAGCAAGAUAGGCUAACUUUGUUCCUGAAGCACUUACCUAAAAAGGAUACCAACCACAUACAUGUAGUUUGAGAUCACAUCCAAUGUUCUCUAAUUUCAAUUUUCGUCCCAAAUUAUUGGUUCUAUCUCCCACACCACUCUCAUCUUUCCCAACGUGAAGUAACAUAAAGAUAAAAUCGUCUUUUCAAUUAAAAUUAAUAUAAAAUCGAAAUCAUUGAAGAUUGAGGACUCAUUUAUACAAAAUUCAUAAAUUGAAGAUUCCCAACUCCAGUUUUCCCUACAUAAAGGGAAAAGGCAAAAGAAAAAUAAAAAAGCAUAAUGGCAAAUUGAAAAUGCCAAAAGCACUUAUGGAACUCUUUGCAGAUGGCAUUUCUGGACCCCCAUAACAACUAAUAAUUCUUGUACAUAACUUGUGGUUUACAUUUGAUGUAAACAUAAAAAAUAUCUCAAUUGCUUAUCCACUUGCUGCCCUCAUUAACGUAUCCAAUAGUCAUCUGUAUCCAACUUUUUACAAGUUAGUAUUUAUAAAUACUUGACAAUGAAAUGUCUACGUCACGUUGACAAGAUCUCAACUUAGAAAUUUUUCGUGCUUGGACACCAUAUCAAAGGGAAGUUUUAAAUGAAUAGGGGCCGUGACAGGCCCCUAUGACAGGGCGCCCUGUCACGGCCCCUGUCCGUGUAGCGCAACCCCAUAUUAAAAUCAUUCACUAACAUGUUUAAACGAUCAGAGAAAUGUUCUUUCAUAUUAAUAUAGUUCUUCAUGUUUAGUCUAAUAGGUGCAAAAGAUCGCCUUCAUUUAAAUUUUGUGUUCAACUGAAAGGAACGACUUACAUAUAGAAUAUUACACAUCGAAGUUCUCAAUUUUGAUGCAGAAGGGGAAAAAAGAAAAAGAAAAAGACAGCUUCUCAAACAAAUUUUCAGCACUUGAGUUACACUGAUUGCAUGUAAUUCAAUGUCUCGCUCUUGAUCUCCCCUUCUAUCAGUGUUUCUCUACAAAUAUAUGUACAUUUAUAACACAGUCGUCAAUGGAACGAAGUACCUCCUUAUACUUAAAAGACAAAUAACAACUAGUUUUCACAAUGGUUUAUUCAAGGAUGCCCCUCAUGCCCAAGGCCUUUCAGGAGAAACUAACUUUAAGCUUCAUUUCUGUUGCUAGCAUUCAGAGGAAGUAGAUGUAAGGCUUGGUAACAAGUAAGAAAUUACUCGUUGGAGAAGCCGAUAAGUGGUUAAAAUAUCACUUCAGGCACUCUCCUGGAAGCCAAUGGACCUAGAUAAUGCUGCAGGGUUCGCAUGCAUUACAGGGGAAGCAGUAGCCACAGGUUUCUUUUUGUCAAAUUUUGGCUGCAAGGCCUUAAAAAGGCCUUCUCUUGUUACAGAAUCAUACUUGAUCCCAAGCGUUGCCCAUAUUGGACUCUUUGCAGCUUCAUCAGGAUUAUCAAUCCGUAAAGUUUUUGGGAUUACAAUAGAACUUUCUGAAUUCUUCUCUACUAUACAUUCUUUACUCUCCGGCUUGUUUGGCACGAGCAAUUCCCCAUCCCUUGAAUGCUUGCCCAAUGGUGAGUCGGGACUGGAGCCCAAUGCCUUUUGACUUGGUGUAGGCGACUGUAACGAUAACCAUGUAACGUUCCAAUAAGGUGUAGGGUAGAAUGGCAUGGGAAAUCCUGCAGGGUAGAUUGGUGGCACUGGAACUGCAGAACCCCAGGGUACAGGCCAAGGAACCUCUGGAAGACACGGAACUGGAUACGGAAACCCAUUAAUAUUUUGCACAAUGGGCUCGAGGGAUCCAUUCUUGCCUCCCUCUAUCGUUGACUUUGAUGUUGUGACGGCCAAUCCACUAUAAUAAUCAUCACCAUUCUCGACAAUUUUGCAAGGAAUCGGGGUCUCUUGAUCAGUUAUAUAAUAACCAUUUCGAAUACCUUUUGGUACUUCUAUCUCUGAAAGAUUCAGAACAGAAGCCAUCGAUUCACAAACUUGAGAGUCGGGAGUGAAGGACAGAACAGUGCCAUUAGGUCUAAAUGUUGAGUGAUUGAAUCCAUUUGGACUGUCAAUUCUAGAUGCUUGAAGGGCUUCAGGGAUUGUAAUAUGAUGACAAUAAGAGGCAGAAUUCUUGUUCUUGCGUCUACCAGCACCCACUGGCACAUUCCUCAUAUUACCACCAGCUGUCCAAUAUCUUUGACAACUCCUGCAGAAAUGGCGAGGCUGAUUGAUGUUGUAAUUGUUGUAGUAACAGAACUUUGUAUCCAUGCUUUUACAGCGAGGACAUGGAAGGAUUUUGUCAGGCUUUUUCAGUUUUUUGUGCUGUGAAUUAGUUUCAUCACUUUGAUCAUUCUCACUUUUAGGAGGAUGUACUGAUGCAACAUCUUCAUCAAUGUGGGGAGUUUUUGGAUCAUCAAAUUCCAAUGAAGGAUUAGAGUUUAGGGAUUCCCCUGAAGCUGGAGGCUGGUCCUUUUCUUGUGGUUUUGAUUCACAACACUGUCGUGCUAAUCCGUCCUAGAAUUGCAAAAAUAAAUUCCCAUGAGUUGGAUCUAUAGUCAUUUCAGACUAAAACGCCUAUAAGUAAUUGGCAAUACAGUAAAUCAUUCGCCACGAAACAGUAAACAAGAUUAAAUCAGUGGGAGAAAGAUCUUUCUCCAAUUUUCUUCUAAUAUAGCUAUAAACCAUUAUGGUAGGGAAGAUUGCACAGUAGUGAUAGAGAUGAAGGAAAAAGGAACUAAAAUCUCGUUCAUUGCAGUGUUGAGUCGUGUCUAAUACUGAGUACCAAACAUGCACUAAAAGGACAACAUCACUAAACUAUGUCUUGUAGAUUACAUAUAGCAUACAGCAAUUCUUGAAAACAAGUACCAGAGCUUGAUCAAGCUUCUGUUUGAUAUUACUGCGAAUCCCGACCCUACUGUAUACUUGAAACCAGAAAAUUGGAGAAAGUAGAACCUUUGAGGCUCAUGUUGACGGUUGACCCCAAAAACCGGAAAUCAGAAAACUGAUUCUUAUUCUGCAUUCAAUUUCAGGUUGAUCAAAAAUAUGAAAAAAAAAAAAAAAAUCAACUUAUAGAUUCAAAUUCUGAGUCCAGUAGACAGAUGAGUGUAUAAGCUACUCAAGAGCUCCUUCGAUUUCAUAAAUUAGAUUUGAAAUUUUCUUAGUCUUACACAAUCAAAUUAUGAACUACACAAUUAUAAGAAUUUAGGAUAUUAAUUUUUAAAUGAAAUUAAACAAUUCAAGAAUCCAAAACACCCAUUAAAAUCCAGAUUCUAAAUACCCUGGUAGUCCAAAAACCACCAAAAUUUCUCUGGAAAAAGUGACAAUGAGGGCAAAAAACUCAGAAAAGUAAAACUACAAUGACCUCUUCAAUCUGCUGUUUUUCUUCAUCAGCAUCUGCUUUUUCUGCAUCUUCUUCUUGGUCGACUCUGCUCACUUCAUUAUCAUUUAAACAGAACCUAUUAUCGGACCCACCACAAUUUUCAUCAUCAAUCUGGUCGGAAGACUCGCCGCCGGCGACCACGGCAACCUUUUUCCCGUUCCGCAGCACAAUCUUCAUCCCAAAUAGUUUUAUCUCCGGUUGCUUUACUUCAACCAUUUCUUCCCAAAAAAAAGAAAAAAAAAAACACUUCGAAAUGGCAACAACAAAGGCUUUGUUGGCAGUGCUAAGCAGUGAUUUUGAUCCUGCUAAUAAGAUAUAUAAUUAAACAAAACAGCUCAAAAAAAAAAAAAGAUUAAACCCAACUUUGAGGGCCCAAUCGCCCCGUCCUUAGAGUCUUGUGAGGAAAGUAAAUUUCGGGAUGUGCUCCUGUAGGUCAGGGAACAAGAGCUGUCUGUACACUACGCUUAUAAGAAGUCCAAUUUUAUAUCUUAGAAAUCGAACCCCCACACUGCGACUGCUUGCAUUAAAAAAAAAAAAAAAAAAAAAAGAUUAAACCCAACUUUGAGGGCCCAAUCGCCCCGUCCUUAGAGUCUUGUGAGGAAAGUAAAUUUCGGGAUGUGCUCCUGUAGGUCAGGGAACAAGAGCUGUCUGUACACUACGCUUAUAAGAAGUCCAAUUUUAUAUCUUAGAAAUCGAACCCCCACACUGCGACUGCUUGCAAGACGUAAAAAAAUCUCAUUCCUAUUCUUUGCAUCACUGGACUAUACCCGCGGCAAAGAUAAGUAGAUUCUUGGAUGCACGAAGCGUGGAAGCUACCUAUUUUGUGCUCGCCAGUUGGGGGUGGACCAAAAUUUAUGUAACUAACGUUAACUGUCUAUUAUGUGGAGAGAGGUGAUUGGUUGGAGUAGGAUAAGCGUUGUACCUUUUGAUGAUUUGUCUGAAUUUGACGGCUCUGAUGUUACUCGAGAGUCUUAAUACUUUUAAGCCCAUGUUUGAUUCCCAUUACUUGGUAAUGAAAAUGGGUGGAAUAGUAUUUUUUUGAAAAAUAAGUGGUUAAAAAAGAGGGAAAAAUUUUUGAUUUACGUGUAAUAUUAUUUUAUGGAAGAUUGUAUGGUUGAAAAUAGGAGAGAGAAAAAUAGAAUGUAAUGUAAUGUAAUUUAAUAGGGGCCAAACGGGGGCUAAGUAACUAUCUCCAAUUCAAUUGAAGCAUUGGACCAAUAUUAUUGUUUCAAAAGUUUCUCAAACACUUAUUUUUGACCGUACGUUUACACCAUAAAAUAUUUUAUAUGUAAAUUCAAAAUUAAUUUACGUAAAUCCAAAGGUUUUUCUAUUUUUUAACAGCAUAUUCUCCAAAAAUUUCUAUUCAACACAUCACUUUCUUUCAAUUUCUCUUUAUAAUGACUAUCAAACAUGGAAUAAAUUAUUUUUGAAAUUAGUCUUUUUAUCUUGAGAAAAAAUAUCAAAAAGGCCGUAAGACAAAAUAAAUUAGUGUAUGUUUGAGAAGAGAUUAAAUUAUAAGUUAAAUAUAUUUCUUAUCCUCUUAUUUCAUGAGUAUUCAAAUUAUAUUAUUCACGCAUAACAUAUUAAUCGAUUAACCCCCUUCUUGAAUUUUAAUUAAACUUUUCUUGAAUUACGUCUAUACAUCAAACUUACUUUGACGGACUUCAGAGUAUGAACCGGACAACAUAAAUAAAUAAAUAAAUAAAAAUUCACAUUUCAAACUUUCACAAUGGAUAUAUAUCGUCUACUAUGUCAGUCAAUUACAUUGCGUAUGUACAUAGAUAAGGAGAGUUGAAUAUAUCAUUAUCAUGAUGUAAAGAAAUUAAAAAGAACUUUUGAUUAAUAUCCUAAAGUUUUGAUUUUUGGUAUUGAUUAAUCACUAAUCUACUUCGAAAGAGACAUUUUAUAUUUUUAAUAAUGUUUUAAAUGCGUGACGGUCAUAUGGUCGGUUAUUACGUGGUUAUAGGACAAAUUUUGAUUUAGAUGUGUAUUGAUUGUCUCCUAGUAAUUAAUUAGAGGAUACCUACUGCUGAUUUGAAAUACAAGAAUGAUAUGUCAAGAUUUUAUACUUGACUUGGUCUUACUCAAAGGGGCUUAUAGUUCCAACUUUUUUUUUUUUUUUUUUCUAAUUCAAUUCUUUGCUAAUUAAUUGACAAUAUACUUGUCCAAUUACAUCUAGUAAAAGCUUGAAUAUAAGAGAGGACAUAACUUAUUUACUAAAGAGAAUGAAAAAAAAAACUAUCUAUUUAAAUUAUGUCUUCUACACGUCCCUUCACGUACAUGUCAGAUUCAUAAACUUAACCGGUACACAUUUUUCAGUACUUCAUAACAAAGAUUUAGUUAAAGGGUCCCUUAAGAAGUUUCAACUUACAAAGUAAAUAUCCGUCUCGUUCAAAAUCCCUCCGCCUCCGGAGGCAUAAAUUACUCUAUUAUUUAGUAUGACAUCUUUCAGUUAGAGAUGGAUCAAGAAAAACAGGAGCCCUUGAAAAUCCCCAUCUUAUACCCUGAAUUCAAUUUGAAUUAUGCUAAGCCAAACUCAUGUAACAUAUAAAGAAAUGGGUCGAUAUACAAAACUCUUUAGACUAUAUAUUAUGUUGGACGAGAUCGUACUUGGCAAGAAUAAGAAAGGAGAACAAGUCAAAAAUUUGGGCGUUGUCCCAAGAAGUUGAUUAUUACCUACUAUAACGGGGACAGGGCGGCCAUUAAAUAACCUCCCAUUAGGCAUCCCAUCGCCAAAGUCGAUACCACACCAAGGGCAAGGGAGUCUUGCCCGAGCAAGAUUUUUCGACAAGUAAUUAUUGCUCCCAACAUCGGAAAGAGAAUCCCCCAAAGAUAAACUGCACUAUUUUGCAAUUGUAUCUAUUGAUCAAAAAUGCAAAAAUGGUCAUGACAUCGCCAAUGACAAUGCUGUCAACUUCAUGUUAAUCUCCACAUAUGACUAUGAUAUUCUCAGGCUUUUCAACACAAACAACUGAAAGAAAGAGCGGUUGCUUCGGUCUUAAAAUGGCAAAAAGAGAUAGAAAAAAUGAAAGGGUUUUGCAAGAAUCAACUGAAGUAGGCAAUAUUUGGUGAAAGAAGCAAUGUUUUCUGCCACAGGUAGAUAUUCUUGAACUGCUUACACGUACAUAAAGCACUGGGGUGAACAAAGUGCAGGAUCAACGUUAAGGAUAACCGUUUGUCGCAACUUCCAUGUCUAAAUUCUUCCUUCCAAACGGUUUGGCCAGGUCUAAAAAAUAAGUGAUUUUAAGCAUUUUCUUUAUCUUUUUGGUUAACUAUUUCAUUGAAAAAUUCUAACUAUUAGAGAGGGACCAAUUAUACAUUUAGACUGUGCCUUCAACAUGCCUCUCACGUGAGACUAAUUUCAUUUUACCAUCAAUAGCACGUGUUCAAUUUUUACUAGAUAGCUGACGGAUACCGAGUUAACCUUUUAUUUAGAUAUUCAUUUAAACCAUGUCUUUUACCAAAGAUGUUCCGUCAAGUUGCUCCUUCUGUUUUAUUAUUAUUAUUAUUAUUAUUAUUAUUAUUAUUAUUUGGGCAAAGAAGUUAUAUUUUUUGAGCAUGUUUGGUAGUGAUUUUUCUCUCCAAAAAAUCAAUUUUUUGAUCGUUAUUUCACUAUUCCAGUCGUCAUUUUUUACUUCUUUUCUCAUAAAUAGAACCCACUUUUCUCUCUAAUGGUAAAAAAAUCAAUUUUCAAAAUCAAUAUCGAACAAGUCCUUAUAAACAUAGCCAGCUCAAAGAUUAGGAGAUUUAGGUCGUCGUGUAAGCCCCGAUUUAUGAAGGCUCCCAAUUUUUAAAUUUACAUAUUUACAUAUUUUUGCCAUUUUUGUGAUGAAAAUUAUGUCAUUAAUUAAUAACAUUAAAAAAUUAAGAUUAUAAAGUUUUUUAGUUAAUAUAAAAAACAUAAAUAUUUUAACAAAUUUAAUCUACUAAAAUAUAUUCCAUAAGAAAAAUAUAUAAAUUAAAUAGUGCUUUUGAACUCGCCUGCCUUUUUCCUUGAGAACAGCUUCCAGAGAAGAGUGUUAUAGUAGAUAGAUAAUUAUUUACAUGGGUUUUGCCAUUCAAAUAGGGCCUAAUGAUAAGCCCUAUUGAUAGCGGCCCUCGGCCCUUGAUUUGAAUCUUAUUUGGCCCUGUCUCUGUAAUAGGGUUCUAUUUACAUUAAUGCAAUCUAUCAUAGGCGCUGGUGAACCACCGAAAGCAAAAGUUAUGAAGCUUGGGAAGUGGCACCUAUAUCUUAACCUGGCUUAACAGCUAAGAAACCCAUAGAUGAACACUAAGGAAUAUUAUUUGUAAGACAAACAUAAAAGUGUAUUCCAUUAUUAAUGUUGUAUUUCUUGUAGUCAUAAUUCUUCCAUAUAAAUAUGGGGUUUUGGCUCUUAAUAAAACGCACUAGUUUAUUGGAUUCUAUUUUUUGUUCUCUCUUUUUUCACUAGUUUAUAAUCCUUUAUCAGCACAAGUCUUUCAAAAUCAAAUUGAAUUAGUUAGAAGGCAAUUUUUUAUAAACAUAAUCAUCUAUCACAUGUAUCAAAAUUAAUUUAGUAAUAUGUGAAUUUCUUUCAACAUACAUGUGCAUCAUAAUGAGGUUGCUUCAUUAUCUUUUCGUCUUGUUUGUAUGCAUAUUAAUUCUAAUUUACGUUUGUAUGUAUAAUCUAUACACAUUAAUUAAUGAUUUAUUAAGUAAAUUCAUACUUUACAUCAAUUCAUGACUUUUGAUUCAUGCACAAUCAAUUCUGUCACAUAUUAUUCACGUAUUAAUUCUACAUUUUGAUUCUACCACAUAUUAGUUCCACCUUUAAUUUUACCUUAAAUUUUUGUAUAUAUAGGAUUUACAUGCAUAAUUGGUAUCUUUUGCAUGUUGGUUAAAAAUUUAGCUAAUAAAAUAUUUAGUCAAUUUUGUUAACUUGUAUAUAUGAAGAUUAUUUUUCCUAAUGUAUGUUUGGUAAUGAAUUUUUAUAUAUAAAUUCAUAUCCUAUCUGUUUGGUAAUUAAUUUUUAUAUCAUAUUAUUUUUGUAUGGUAACUAAUAUUUUUAACCUAAUUAAAUAUUUUUAAAUGCUCCUUUAUAAAUAUUAAAUUGAUAAUUCAUCCUUUUGAUUUUUUGAAGUAACAUGAUAUUAUAAUUAAUAUUCCAAAAAAAUAUUAUUUGCUCCUGAAAAAAAUAAAUUAUAAUUUUCAAUAUUCUUUUUAUUGACAUGUUGCUCCUAAAGAAUCAUAACUUCAUAAAUAUUAUAUUCUCAUAGAAAAUAUACUCCUAAAACAUAAUAUCUUUUAAAUAAUAAUUUGUUGUUGUUCCUGAAAUAGCACAUUAUAAUUUAUGUUUAGGUUAUAUUUUACUUGCUCCAUAAGAGCACAAUUAAAAAUUAUGUUUCUAAUCUUGAAAGGUAAAUUUUUAUACAAUUUAUUAUUUUAAAUAAUAAUAUGUUAUUGUUCCUAAAGAGUAUGUCACUAUGAUUUCGAUAUUCCACAAAAAUAUUGAUAUAUUGCUCUUGAAGAAGCGAUGAUAAAAUACAAUAUGUUUUCUAAGUAACACGUGCUUUAAAAAUAUAUCAUUUUUACAUUCGUGUUUAUUCUUAAAGGAAAACAUAUAACUCACACGCAUGUUGACACCGAUUAGUUCGUCUACUUGAUUGAAUAUCAUACGAAUAUGUAAUGUUUAAUCAUAAUCUUCGAAAUUAAAUAACAGAAUUAUAUAUUAUAUUGAACUAGGAGUUCAAUUUGAUCUUCUUAUUUAGCACAAUUAGUUGGAUCAUUACUAGAUAAAUAAUGAUGCGAUAUUAAAAAAUUAAAUGGAUAUUCAAUGAAGAACUUGAAGAUUAUUCAAUCCAGUGAAAUCCUAUAUGAUAUUUUUUUUUUCUUUCAUUAAUUUUUUUAAAUCAAUUAUCAUUAGCUAAAAUUGGUACCAAAAUCAUUCUAUUUUUGAAAAUUCAUCAGGGAGAUAAAUGCAGUUCCAUCAUCCUCUAUGUUGACCAUCUAAAUAUUAUUUAUAUUUAAUUGAUUUGAUACAUAUAUUAGAUAAUUGUAUGGUAUUCGCAAUGUGAAAUUUGUGAAAUUACUGCUCAAAUUUUAAAUUGUAAGCAUAAUUUUCAAAUUAUACAAUUAAAAUGGAGUGUCUUGUUAAUACUAGUGAUUCUAAAUCUCAAACAUUUAAUAAGUGCUAGUUGGGACGUCGAUAAAUGACUCAACACUAUUGCUUGUUUAAUGCCUCUAAUUAAUUUAAUUAAGAAUAAAGUACUUUCCAUUUCUGUAUAGGGAAUGUUACUAUGCAUCAUGCCAACAUCAAGUUCUCCUUAUUAUAAUUGGCUUAUGGUUAGAGCCUGCUUUCUUCAUCUAAAUUUUUAAUAGUACAACAUAUGCACAAUUAAUCCACUACAUUGUAUUGAGAGGAAAAAUAAAAAAUACUGUGAAGAAAUCCGUAGUUUGAACCAUUAUUUCAAAUGAGAGAUAUUUAAUAAUGCAAUUUGUUGAUUGUCAAUUUUAAUUAGACAAUUCUCUUAGCACUAGGGGCAUUAAGAAAUUGAAAGUAAUGUAUAAAUGUAUCAUUAUCUAUAUUCUCAUAAAAAAUCAUUCGAAUUAAAAGUUCGAAAGAUAAUUUAUUUAGAUGUAUUUAUUGACUAAAGAGAUCAAUAAUAUCUCACACAUCAGCUUUAAAUGCUCCAACUCGAACUGACAUCGUAGAGAACAAUUAGUUAAUAUGAUAUUUGAUGCACGGGUGAAGCAUAAUGUUUUUAAUAUAAAAAUCUUCAAACAAAAAUGGAUCAAUUAGUAAAGAUGAUCUUGUUACGUGUUGCCACACUUGGCCAACCCACUGGACCCAUGGCCCACUUAUACCGAACCACGUGGCAUCUUAGCCGAAGCUCCCAGGCCUAAUGAAGUCAACCAAUCUACUUAAACAACACCUAUGACGUGGCCUAAAUGCUGACACCAAAGUGAAUAGGGCGAGCUGGUCUGCCUUGUCGAGGCUCUUCACUUCGAGGCCUUUCUCACUGAGGUCCAGAUGCCCCAAGCAAGGCUUCUCCCCAGAAAUCCGGUCUUACACAAGGAUCAUUCUUGAUUGAUCGAUGGGAUACUCAUCAUAGAGUGUAAAUGUCUUGUCUUCCGCCGUCGAUUAAUAAAUGUGUAGCAGGCUAGGAAGUCAAGUGUGAUAUCUAUAAUUUAACAUGCGAACUUACGAGAUAAGGCCACGUGUAUUCCCAACCGAGGGCCACGAUCUAACUUGUAAUACUAUAAAUACUCCCCCAUGUAUUUCUCACGAGGAUAAUGCAAGAUUCAAUACAAGAACUGAGAUUAUACAUUCUUUGCUCUCUUAACACACUUUAUACAACUUUAUAUAACGAUCUGUUUACUGUCUUGCAAUAUAAUACUAUACGAAUUUAUAUUCGCAUUCUACAAAGAUCGAUUGGUAAUUAUUGUACAAUCGUUAUGCAAACAUCGGGCCGGAUUCCAAAUGUUCUCGUCCCGCGCCUUUGAGCUACUCCCACACCCCCUUUAUUGCUAGUUCUAAACCGUCCACGUGUCUUAGCGUGUUGGACUAGGGUCACGUGUGUGUAGGUGGGUCGGGUAUUUGUUGGCAACAUAUUUUGGGGUCAAACCGUCUGUGGAAAACCAUACCAUAACCACGAGUAACCAUGUGAAAAAGCUUACUAAAAGAAGAAUAUUCGAUCAUUCCUUUGGAAAAGGAUUUGUUCUUGGAAAAGAAUAAGCAGAAGUCCCAUAACUUGCAACGUUUUAAAGUUGAAACGCGAAGGAAUGAGUUCGGACGAAGCUAUAUCCCCUAGGAGGGUAAGGGAAAAUGUGGGAAUGUCCCCACCGACAGUUGCCCCUGCAGCUCGGCAUCGACUUCAUCACCACCACAAAAAAGGUGGCAUACGAAUGGUCUCUCAGUUAUCAAAGGAGAUGGCUGCAAUGGCCACAAACAUGAGGGAUAUUGCCAGCCAAAACAAGGCCAUGAGGGAGCUCAUAGCCCAAAUGCAGAGCCAGAGAGGCUUCCCUAUUCCUCCCUAUACACCUCAAGGACAUUAUCGAGAUGAGGAAGUCCAAAGCCAAAGGGCUGUACCACCAGAAUAUAGCCAAGGCAGAAGCCCCAUGGAGAGAGAAGUAGAAGUUGAUGUUUCCUCCACUUAUGUUGCAGGCCGACCCACUGAGGCCCGAUAUAACCAAGACAACUUCCCACCAGCAUAUAAGCCAGAGCAAAGACCUAGGAGGACUAACAGCGUAUUUGACAGAAUCAGCCCCAUAAAAUCGAGGCUCAGGCAACAGCAACAUCCAUGCGAGCCCCAGACUAGGCCACAGCCCCUAUCCCUAAUGACUCACUAGCCGGAGAAAAGGCAUGAAAAUGUCCCUUGUGCUGCUCCGCCUAGAAAUAAGCGCCAAAGGAGAGAAGAUGAGGCUAGGACCCAAGCUAGACCCUCUCAUCAUCCACCCAGAUACGAGGCUGAAGAGAACAAUGACUCAGAUGAGCAGUAGAUGUCCUGUAAGUUAGACGAUGACGAUAAAAAUCUACCAUUUUCAAGGGAACUAAGAAAUGCCCAGGUUUCGAGCCACUAUGUGAUGCCCAAAAUAUCAAAGUAUGAUAGGAAAGGCAACCCGGAGAAACGCCUAAGCAUUUAUAAAACUUAUAUAUGAGUCUUAGAGGCGCCACCUCAGCUGUGAAGUGUAGGGCUUUUCACUUGACACUUAGUGGAGCGGCUAAAAUCUGGUAUAAUCGGCUACCACCUGGGAGCAUAAGGAGUUGGUCAGAAUUCAAGAACACUUUCUUGAAAAGGUUCGCGGUGAGCAGAGAGGGAGAGACCCCUAUCCAACGCCUUCAAGACAUGAGGCAGGCGCAUGGAAAAUCCCUAAAAAGAUUUUUAUCAUGCUUUACUGACGAAAUGACGUAUUGCGUGCAAGUCACCCAUCGGGAGGCUUUAUCAGCCCUAAGAGGAGGUUUGAAUAUGAACACCUUAUUUUGGAGGGACUGCAAAACCAUGACUCCACCACCUAUGACGCCUUAUUGGAAAUGAUGAGGCGAGAUAUUAUCAAUGAGGAAUUGAUUGAACACCGAAAUCGAACUAGCACAGGCCUCCCACCUUAACAGAGACAACGUGCCAGGGGACCAACCUCCUACUUGAUGGACUACCAAAUAAACCCACAUGGUAAUGGAAAUUUAGGGUAAGCACUGGCCACAACCACUUUGAAUGCAGUCCCAACUUUGGCAUAUGAAGAUGUCAACCCAACUACCAUCGACCCCCAAGCAAAAAUUUCACAAUGGGCUCCCCGAAAAGGAAGAGACCGGGGACGUGGUUUGGGGCCUAGGAAUAGGCCUAAUCAAAGCCCCCUGAUCAUUGUACGUACCAUCGCUUCUAUGGUCAUGACACCUCCGAGUGUUGAGAGUAUGUAUACCGCAAUCGACGGGAACACCCUUAAGACAGGAGGAAUGAGUCUUCACAGGAGAACAGGCCCCCACCUAGGAACAACCAGCGACCUAGGAGUAAGGAAGCCGCUUUUCGUCAGCGGGACGUAUCUUCCCGUCGAAGGGAACAUGACGUAGAGAGACCCAGGGAAGGACAUAGGCAUCGUGGAAAUCGCUACGCACAAUAAUAAGCCCCUAUUCACGAGGUGGAUAUCAUAUUUGGAGGCCCCUACGCGGGUGGUGAAAUUAGAAACGUAAAAGGAACUAUGCCUUUCGCUAACUAGUUAUAUCGUGGACAGCAGCUCCCAAAAAAAUCAAGUACCACCCAUCGUCUUCACCAAGAAGACUCCGAAAGAGUUCACUACCCCCACUGUGAUGUACUUGUGGUAAGGGCCGUUGUGGUUCGAAAUGGGCUCAAGCGAAUGCUAGUGGACAAUGGCAAUUUCGUUAACAUCCUGUUUAGGUCCACCUUUGACAAAAUGAUCCUGGACCAUGAGCUGACACCCACCACCACUCCUCUGUAUAGAUUCAAUGGAGAUAGUAUCACUCCGAGAGAAAAAAUAACACUGGCGAUAGAGAUGGGAGAGUCCCCCCAAACCACAGUGAACUUAAUGAAAUUCCUUAUUGUUGAUAGUCGGUCGGCUUAUCAUGGAGUGCUGGGAAGACCGGCCCUGAAAGAGUUAGGAGCUGUCACCUCCAUCCACCAUUUAUGCAUAAAACUCCCAACUGAGAAUGGGGUGAUAACAGUGAAAGGUGACCAAAGAGGGUCCAGGGAAUGCUAUCAUCCUGACUGUUGUGGACAUGACAGAAGUCCCAAGCGAGGCCCCCUCGAACGAAAAGAUGUUGACAUGAUCAACGCACCUCCCGAGCAGGAAGAACUAUCCAUGAUCAAUGAGAUCAAUCUCCUUGUGAUUGAACACGAACCCCAAACACAACUCCUGUUGAGGAGCUCGAAAGCUUCCCGAUCGACCCCCGGGACCCCACGAAGGUAUUGAAAGUAGGUAAAGGCUUGUGCAAUGUCAUGAAAGAGAAAUUGAAAGACUUUCUCUGUAAAAACCUUGACGUCUUUAAUUGGAGGCAUAAGGACAUAGUGUGCAUAGACUCCAAGGUCAGCUGUCACUACCUAAAAAUAGAUCAUAAGGUUUCCCCACAUCGACAGAAGAGAAGAGCCUUCAACCCAGAAAGGUAUGAGGCUUCGAAGGAAGAAGUUCAGAAGCUAAUCAAGAAUGGAUUCAUCAGAAAGGCCUUCUACCCAAAGUGGGUCUCCAACCCGGUGCUAAUGAAGAAGCACAACGAUAAAUGGAGGGUAUGUAUUGACAUUACGAAUCUUAACAAGGCAUGCCCUAAAGACAGCUUCCCACUUUCGAGAAUCGAUCAAUUAGUAGACUCAACCACUAGGCAUGAGCUCCUAAGUUUCAUGGACCCCUACUUAGGUUAAAACCAAAUACCCAUGUACCUGACCGAUGAGGAGAGCACCUCCUUUAUCACUAAUAUAGGCCUUUACAUCUACAAAAUGAUGCCCUUCGGGUUGAAAAACAUCGGGGCCACAUAUCAAAGACUCGUCAAUAAAAUAUUUGUGGACCUCAUCGGCAAAACGGUGAAAGUCUAUGUGGAUGAUAUGCUUGUGAAAAGUUUGAAGGCAGAUGACAAUGUUACGCACUUGAAUGACACUUUUCGAACCCUCAGAAGGUACAGGAUGAAGCUCAACCUCCUCAAGUGUACUUUUGGCAUUGCCUUCGACAAAUUCUUGGGUACAUGGUCAAUCAAAGAGGAAUUGAAGCCAACCUCGAAAAGAUCAAUGCCCUGCUCGAGAUGAGAUCACCUCAGAAACCCAAGGAAGUCCAAAGCCUAACGGGACAAGUAGCAGCUCUCAACUGCUUUGUCUCCAAGGCCACUGACAAAUGCCUCCCAUUCUUCAAAGUAUUGAAAGUCGGGGUAAAGUUCAAAUGAAAUGAAGAGUGUGAAGAGGCCUUCCAGGGCCUGAAAAGGCAUAUAGGGUAGGCCCCUCUCCUCUCUAAGCCAAAGCUUGACGAUAUCCUUCAGCUAUACCCGGUCGUCUCCAAUGAGACCAUUAGUGCAGUCCUAACUCGAGGGAAAGGAACCACCCAACUCCCCGUAUAUUACACCAGCAAAGUACUCCUAUGUCUGGAAACUCGCUAUCUCGAUAUGGAGAAGCUAGCAUUGGCCCUGAUUAUAGCUUCUAGGAAGCUGAGGCCCUACUUUUAGGUACACACCAUUCACAUGCUGACCAACUUUCUCUUGAGGCAAGUGCUACAGAAGCCAGAUGUCUCAGGAAGACUACUGAAAUGGGCAGUCAAAUUAAGUAAAUUCGACAUUGUCUUUAAGACAAGGGCAGCCAUCAAGGGCCAAGCCUUAGCUGAUUUUGUGGCGGAGUUCACUAAUGUGCCCGAGGUGGAAGAGGUUAUGGAACCUGUUGAGCACCUAACGUGGAACUUGUUCGUGGAUGGUUCGGCUAGAGACAAAGGUUCGGGAGCUGGGAUAGUCCUAGUCAGCGAGAAAGUCACAAGCUGAAUUCAGCCAUGAGGUUCGAAUUUAAAGCCACUACGAAUGCUGCCGAGUAUGAGGCACUCUUUGUAAGCCUCAGAUUAGCCAAAGAAAUGCAAGUAAGGAGGUUACGUAUCAAGAGUGACUCCCAGCUGGUGGUAAGCCAAGUGAAUGGUAGCUUUUUAGCUAGGGAUAAAACCAUGGCCUCCUACUUGAAGAUGGUGAUGAAUCUCCUCCCAUCUUUUGAAAAAUUCAAAAUAAUACAGAUCUCUCGUAUCGAGAAAGCACAUACCGAUGCACUCUCUAAACUUGCGAGUAGCAAAGACUCUGAACUACUUGUAAUAGUACUGAUUGAGCAUCUCUUCACGCCGUCUACCGAGGCUGAACGCCAAAGGAAGAAGCCUCUACAUAGCUGUACCAUCCGUCUUGUAAAGAAGCGAGGGCGCCUUAGAGGAGAGGUGCCAGUUCCCAGCUCUGGGAUCACCUCGCUCGAAGUCCGAGGAGCACGCCACAUUCUUCCCUUUAGCGAGGCUGAACGUCAAAUGAAGAAGAGAAGCGUGGGUACCUUAGAGGAGAGGUCUUGAUUCCCAGCUCUGGGAUCACCUUGCCCGAACUCUAAGGAGCACGCCACAUGCCUCCAUUUGGCGAGACUGAACGCCAAAGGAAGAAGCCUCUGCAUGACUGCAUCAUCCACCAUGUAGAGAAACAUGGGCGCCUCGAAAGAGAGGUCCUGAUUCUCAGCUCUGGGAUCAUCUCGCCCGAACUCUGAGAGCACGUCACAUGCCUCCCUUUAGGUAGGCUGAAUGUGAAAGGAAGAAAUCUCUACAUGACUGCACCAUCCACCAUGUAGAGAAGCGUGGGUGCCUCGACAAAAGGGUGCCAGUUCCUAGUUCUGGGAUCACCUCGACCGAACUUCGAGGAGCACGCCACAUAUCUCCCUUUGGCGAGGCUGAACGCCAAAGGAAGAAGCCUCUAUUUGGCUGCACCAUCCACCAUGUAGAGAAGCAUGGACGCCUCGGAGGAGAGGUCCUGAUUCUCAACUCUGGGAUCACUUCGUCCAAACUCCGAGGAGCACGCCACAUGCCUCCUUUUGGCGAGGCUGAACGCCAGAGGAAGAAGCCUCUGCAUGGCUGCACCAUUUACCAUGUAGAGAAGCAUGGGCACCUCAGAUGAAAGAUCCUGACUCCCAGCUCUGGGGUCACCUCAACCGAAAUCUGAGGUACACGCCACAUGCCUCCCUUUAGCGAGGCUGAACGCUAAAGGAAGAAGCCUCUAAAUGCACAUCCCAUCCACCAUAGUCUCACCUCCUCAAUUCGAACUCAAUAGAGAAGUCCAGUCUAAUAAUCUAUUCAGUUUGCAUUGAAUACUUCAUUCAAUGUGGACAUCACGAUUUAUUUUAAGUGAUGGAACUUCAGUGCAACCCAUUAAGUCAUCAUUUAGAUAGCCUGAUUAUUAACUCAUCCUUAAGCUUGAUUAUUUCAAGUGAUGGAAGUUAGGAUGUUAAGUCCGGAUUAUUAACUCAUCCUUUAGUUUAAUUAUUUAGCGAGGUCCAUUCACUAGAUAUUGAAAAAUGAACAGAACAUUGCAAAACAUGACAUUCAUUGACAUUAAAUAUAUUACAAGAGGUAGGCUCGAGGCCAGUACAUUCGAGUGAAUAAAAAGUAAACUAUGCUCCACUUAGGCGGAUGGUGGGGGUGCCUUGGCAACAGGCACCUCCGCAACUUGAGUUUCAGAAGUGUCUGCUUCAUUAUCCUCGACCGCUUCAUCACCGAUUGCUUCCUCAACAGGCGUCUGAGAAACUUCAUCGACAAACUCCAACUUCAGUUGUGAUAGGUCGACGCUUGGGAAAAGCUCCUCAGACCUAUCCAGCACCUUAGCAUAGGCAAAGUUCCUUCAAUACAACCCGAAGCGCUGAUACUCCACAGUGAGAUGAAAGUUGGCAAUGUAAUUCUUAACUGCCUCCUCCCUCGCCACCUGGACCUCCUCUCUUGCCUUUUUUAGCUCGUUAACAUGCCACUUUAUUUGAUCAUCUAAAAACUUAUAAGCAUCUUGGGCCCUUGCUAACUCCCUGUUAGCCUUCUCCAGGGCCUCGACCGUUAUCCUUUGGUGAUUAUUGGAAGUCUCCACCUUUUUUGUGAGGGAAGCCACCUCACAUUGGGACUCAUAGACCUCCUUUUUUGAGGUCUCGAUCUGGGCCAAGGCAGACUCCAACCUAGCAGCAUCUUCAACUUUUUGGGCCUUCAUCUUCUCUGCUUUAGCCCUUAUUUUCUUCAAUUCCUCCUCAGUGGAGGCCAACUUGUCCUUCGAUGACUUAUUCCUCGUCUGAAAAUCAACGAGCAUCUCCCUACACUCAAGUGUGAGACCCAAAGUCCUCACACUUUAGCUCACCAAAGCCCUGGUGAGGUCCACCGUAUCGCAACUUGAGGCAUGCAGUUACCACCGAUCGGUCCAGAACUUGUAAGAACUUUCUGUGGUGCUUCGAACAUUUGCCGACAGCGCAUCGAACAAAGCUGGUGCCAAUACCUCAUCACUCCUCGCCAGAAAAAUUGGGGAACUUCGCUUGAGUCCUGUCUGGCCUCUGUUUGGCUGUCUCCUCCUUAGCUUCUUCUGCUACCCUCCUGGCAACCUUUUCCAUGGCCACUUCAGCCUCAACCUUCCUCAUCAUUUCAACUUUUACUGCCUUCAUGGCAGAGUCCAACAGCUUCGGCUGAGGAGGGGCUUCCUUGCUGGAAUGGGGCACCGAUGUCUCGAACUUCUUGAAAGAACUAGUGAUAUGAACCAGCCUCCUCUUCUUAUGGGAGUCCUCAGGGACAUUUUCUUUACCUCGAGGCUCCUUAGCCUUCUCAGAUUUCUGGGGGCCUCUUUGCUAGACCCCCUGGGGAUGUUGUCUUUGGACAGCCUCUCUAGCUUGCCCCUGUCCCUUUGGCCCCACUAGAGCUCGGCUUCAGGGGUCUCAUCCCAACUGUAAAGGUAGUCUUUAGAAUUGAGGCCCUAUCUGGGAUGUGGUAUUCCCUCCUCUUGAACUUAUCUGCAAAGCAUAUAACAGGUUAGCACCGAGGAUUAACCUAAUAAAAAAAUUUGAUCGUGUAUAUAUGCACUUCUUACCCUUAGAAUCCAUCAAUUCGAAAUCAAGAAAGCAUCGACUUCAGUCAAUGAAGUGGUCGAAGUGACGAAGCUUCAAAGGCCACUUGUAUAUGUUCUCUAUAACCUCGAACUUUUCCUUGCUAAGCUCAAACCUUGUACUAGAAUCUACAGAGCAAGUGGCAACAGUUAACAAAAAUUUGAGAAACUUCGCAAAAUGUAACUCAGGCUGGGACACUCACGAAUUUCGUAAUACUGGGUCGGUACUUUGAAAGCCAAGACUUUGUCCCCUCCACUACCUGCCACCUCUCAUUCACCCAGAACUACAACUCCUUCCAUCCCUUGAUGGAAGAAGGUAGCCCCACCAUAAAAGGUGCGUGAGCCCCCCAAGGAAUAAUAUAAUACCACCCCUUAGACUCAUCUUUGCCUAGGACCCAAGGCUCGAAAAGAGUCUGGAAUACAUGAAGGGGCAUAUCCUCGCCUAUAGAAACCUCCUUCCAUAGGAAGUACGAGCCGACCAACUGGCUCCACCCAUUUGGUAGAACUUAGGUCGACGACAACAUGAAGUUUCUCAGCACUGCCCUGAAGAAGAGAUGUAGAGAAAGACGCAUACCUACCUUAAACAGGUACUCACUCACUGCCACACAUCUGGGCCUCGAAUAGCAGGCCCGUUCGUGGGCCUCAGGGACCAGCAUUUCUACUUAAACAGUACCUCUCCCUAAUUUCUCCCAACCUCUUUGAGGUCAUGUUUAAAGGUAUUCUAGACGCACCCCAUUCCUCAUUAUAAUCUAUAGGUUCCUCCUCUAUGGCUACCUGCCCAGCCUCGGCAUCCUCUCUAAGCAUCAUCUCAAUCCUCGACCUAGCAAUGGUGACUAAAUCCGUCCCGAAACCGGUUGCCAUCUAUAUCGACAAACACAAAUUCACAAAUUCUGAUUGAAAAAUGGAAUAACUACAGAAAUGACUAAGAGACGAGGAAUUGCGAAACGUCGGAGUAUGAAACCAGAGCAAGACCGGACGCCGAAAAUUUGGGAAAUUGCUAAGAGCAAAUGACAGAAAUCAAAGGAUGAAAAAGGGUUCAAAAUGAGAGUCUUUGGCCUUUUAUAGAAAGCCAAGACGAACCCCAGCCCUUGGAUUGAAACCCUGUAAAUCUCAACCCUUCAUUUCCAGGUUAAAUUCGAAGCGUAGAAUUUGAAUUGUUUUUGAAAUCUACGCCUCAGAUUCAAACGUGACUCUCACGUACCUCUCCAAACGCGUCUCCUUCUAAAAGGUCCAGCUGUAGCCAUCAUUGCACAUUUAGUGCAGCAGCCAUACGUGCCUUUGAAGUUGAAACGGCUCGACUGCCUUUUCUUGGUAACAUGCGCAGAACAUCAAAUCAUUGACACAAACAUCGAAGACAAUCGUGUCUUCACAAGCCUCGACAGGUUCGAUCCACACACCGCCUCGGCUUCUGCCUUUUUCGCAAUUCAGCCAUUUCAGCCACAUCGUCACAAGCCUCGAUAGGUUCGAUCCACGCACCGCCUUAACUUCUGCCUUUUCGUAAUUCAGCCACAUCUUCACAAGUCUCGGUAGGUUAAUCCACGCACCGCCUCCGCUUUUGCCUUUUCGCAAUUUAGCCACUUUAGCCACAUCUUCACAAGCCUCGGCAAGUUCGAUCCACUCACCGCUUUGGCUUCUGACUUUUCACAAUUCAGCUGGUUCGAUCCACCCACCAUCUCGGCUUCUUCGCCACCUUUCUCAAUCACAGCAACACCAUAACAGCAAGCAUCACAUACUAAUCCGAACAUGGUAACACUUUCAACUCCAACCAUAAUAUAAAUAUCUAUACUUGGACUUGGGGGACUACUAUUUAGGGUACAAAAAUUCUUUCAAUUUUUUUCACACAAUCGCUUCACCACAAUAAAAGUCCACGUAUUACAUAAAUGACCAUACUUAGACUUGAGGGACUAUUGUUACAUGUUGCCACACUUGACCGACCUAUUGGGCCCAUGGUCCACUUAUACUUAACCGCUUGAUAUCUUAGCCGAGGCUCCCAAGCCUACUGAAGUCAACCAACCUACUUAAACAACACCUAUGACAUGAUCCAAAUGCUGACACCAAAGUGAAUAGACCGAGGUGGUCCACCUUGCUGAGGCCCUUCUCACCGAGGUCCAGAUGCCCCAAGCAGCUCCUCGCCAAAAAUUCGGUCUUACACAAGGAUCCUUCUUGAUUGAUUGAUGGAAAACCCAUCAUAGAGUGCAAGUGUUUUGUCUUGUCAACCGUCAAUUAAUAAAUGUGUAGCAGGCUAAAAAGUCAAGUGUGAUAUCUAUAAUUUGAUUUGCGAACUUGUGAGAUGAGGCCACGUGUACUCCCAAUCGAGGGCCACGAUCUAACUUGUAAUACUAUAAAUACUCCCCCAUGUAUUUCUCACGAGGAUAAUGCAAGAUUCAAUAUAAGAACUGAGAUUAUACAUUCUUUGCUCUUUUAACACACUUUAUACAACUUUAUACAAUGAUCUGUUUACCGUCUUGCAAUACAAUACUAUACGAAUUUAUAUUCACAUUCUACAAGGAUCGAUUGAUAAUUAUUGUACAAUCGUUAUGCAAACAUCUCACAGGAUUUCAAACGUUCUCGUCCCGCGCCUUUGAGCCGCUCCCACGCCCCCUUUACUGCUAGUUCUAGACUGCCACGUGUCUUAGCGUGUUGGACCAGGUUCACGUGUGCACAGUUGGGUCUGGUAUCUGUUGGUAACAUAUUCUGGGGUCAACAGUUCCCAUUAAAGAGACGUAGACUCUUGAUGAGUAUUUAAACAUAACUAGUUUUAAAACCCCUUAAGAAGUUCAAAUACUUGAAGUAAUAAGGCUUGAGAUAUGUCAAUAAGUUAUGUCAUUAUGAAGAAAUAAAUAGAAUCGAAAAGAAAAGAUUGUCGACAAAAUUUUUUCACAUAAUGUAAUGCAUCAUAUAGGAAGGAAUCAAAAUAAAUGUGUCAAAAUAUAUUGAUCGAAGAAUGGUUAGCCAAAUAAAUAGACACAAUCCUAGCAGUUUAAAUUUUACUACAGAAGUCUGGAAUUUCUAGAUCUACCAUCCGAACACCAAAAGAUCUAUACUUAUGCGAAAUGAAAAUGAAAAAAGUAAGGUUGUAAUAUGGAAUGUAUGAUUAUUUAAAUGUUGAAUUUUUUGAAGACUUAUAUAAAUAGAUAAGUUAUCAUGUAGUGGAUGUAAUCACAAGCCUCCACCUUAUUAGUCCGACAAUACAUGAAAUUUGAUAUGUAUAUAAUAAAUGUAAUUUUAGGCAAUUUAUCUUAUAUAUAUUUAAUACUAUUAUUGAAAGAUUUAAUAUGUUUGAAACAUAUAAUUCAAGUAACAUUAUCAUGAAGGAGAGUAAAUGAGCAUUGUACUCUUUUUUAAAAUUUUGAUGAUGUAUAUUCUUUGUAUAAUUUCCACUACAUACAAGAUAUUUUUGCCCCCAAACUAAUUUUUUUAUGUAUGAAACUCUUGAAAAGAUCAACAAGAGCUAUUUUUCAAAUCAUCAUGUUAUUACAAUCACUAAAUAUCGACAAACAUUUCGUAUGAAUGCAGUGUUAUUUGAAGAGAUUGACAUACAAUAUAUCAAUAUUGAAGUAUAUGUGAGCAGUGGAGGAGCUAGGAAUUACUAUUACGGUGGGCUAAAAAUUUUGAAAUUUUAAUGUACGACUAAAAUUUAUAUAUAAUAAGAGAAAUUCAUAAUAUAAGUUACCUAUUGAAGUUGUACUCGGCGAUAUUUUAUAGCAUAAAAUUCAUCUAUAAUAGAAUCUAGAUCUAAAUUCAUACUAAAUUCUCGUUCAAUGUUUAGUGUUAAACAGUCAGCAAGAAUUAUUAAAUUAUAAAAUUUCCAAAUAACUCAGGAAAAGUCAAAUUAUAUCGUUAUUAAAUUAUAUAAUUUCCAAACAAUAUACACCCAACGAUACAUUUCAAGUGAUUUUAGGAAUAUCCAAAAUAAUUGCGAAAGAUUAAAAUUCCAAAAUACAAGAUUUAAGUUCCCCCUUUACCUUAAAAAAUAAAACUACGUCCACCAAUCUCCACCACAAGCUAACUUUAAAAAUUCGAUCUGUGCCCAAAACAAUCUGCAAAUUUCGAAUCUGGAUGCGAUUACUCAAUUUUUUUUCACCAAUCACCCUAUUACUGUAAAACUUAGCACGAACAACUGAAGAAAUCUUUAAAUAGCUGUACAUAAAACAAGUAAUUAUUCUCGAAAAAUUAUUCAAAAUACAUCAAAUUACCAAUUCAAUUUUAACAUUCAGAUUUGAAAAAAAGAAAGGGUCACGGAUAGGACUCACCGGCACUCACUGCAGUUAGUAGGGCACAGGUCGACAGUGAGUCGGCAAUCGGCGGUUCCGUUUGGCGCGGCUUCGGUUUUUAAAUAAAAAAAAUAAAAAAAAAAAAAAAAAAAAAUUUGUUGCAUCUGAGCCUUGGUGACAGUGGGCUGCAGCCAAGUGCAGCCCACCAUUAAAUCCGCCCCUGUAUGUGAGUAAUUUUCGCAAGUAUAACUUCAAAUGAAGUAAAAUGGUAACCAAUUAUCAAAUCAAAUUGUGGUUUGUAAAUCUACUAUAUUAAAUUACGAAAUCAAAUUAACACGAUCGAGAAGAUUAUGAGAUUGAUAGUUAGGAUUUCCAAAUUCACUUAGGUUAUUUAACAUGCACCUAAUUCCAAUUCAUUCAGCCACCGUUCAUACGUGUCAACGAUGAAAUUAAUCCAAUGUAGCUAGUGAUCUCUCGAACAACACUAAUCCUAUUUAUACUCCUAAAUUUACUAUCUCUAUGUAAAUUUAGACACAUACGAACACAUUAACCUAUAGGAAUUCAAAUUGGAUUGUAUAACCUAUAAAUAUCUUUCGAUCUCUUAUAAUGACCCUGUUUGAACCCCAUUAAUUUCUUGUAAUGUAUUAUAGAAUAAUAAAUUAAUGGAAAAUGUAUGAGUAAAAAAAGGAAAUUUUUUUUAUUUGCGUGUAAUAUUAUUUUAAUGAAAAAUGUGUGGUUGAAAAUGAGUAUUAUAAAAAAAAAAGGAAAGAAAUGGAAAAAAUGGGGCUCAAACAUGGGCAACACCUAUCUUAAUUAUUGUAAGAGCUAAAAUCAUACAUAACCUCUUGAUCUCGGUAUUAUCCCUAGAUCAAUCAAUUGUUGCUAGGCAAUUGAAGCAUGAAUAAAACAAUAAAUAAUUGACACAUAUUGAAGUGGCAUGAAGCCUUGCAAUUAAACAAAAUAUUAAAAAUCCUAAGCUACAUUGUCAUCCUGACAUGAAAACACUUAGCCACUCAUAACAAUGGAAUUAAACAAAUAAAAGUUAAAAGACAUCAUCAAGUUCAAUUACAAUUAAUAACAUAAAAAUAACUUCGAGCUGUUGUCGAUCCUUAGUCACACGAAUUCCAACAAUAUUCUUUGUCUCCUUCCUUGCGUAGUAUAAAUCUCCCGACUAUUUUCAGUAAUUCCCCAAUUAAAAUUUUGAUUGCCCAGCCAAAUUUGGAAUUUUUCUCUUCUUUCUUUCUUUUUCUCCCCCCGUCCGAGUCAUCUGGGUCUCCUUAAUCUCCCUUCUGUCACAAGCUGUUUGUAGUCCAAAAGGAUCAUGCUGCCUGCUUUUGUUUUCUUUUUCAAUUUCCGAAUUUAAUUCCAAUUGCAAGUCCAAGUAGCCCAAUCGAAUAUAACAUUUCUCCCCAAGGCCUCCACGCUUUCAAAUGUUGCAAUUUAGUCCAUCAACUUAUAAAGUGUGGGAUUUUAUUCCAAAAACACAACUUUCAUUCGACAUUGUCCUUCUUGAUCCGAUUUCGGGUUUUCUCUUAAAAUAAUCCAGAAUAUGUAAGUAAUGAAGUAUUAAAUCCAAAAUAACGCUGACAAAACCCACUUUUAGUGAUUUAAAUAAGUGUAAAUUCAACACUUAUCAAUAUACCAGAUAUGUCUACAACAAUUAUCAAUAUACCAGAUAUUUAUUUUUAUUUCAAUUCAACAAUGUCUACAACAAUUAUCAAUAUAGACAAAAUUCGAUCUAAUCCUGAAAGAACCAAUGUAACUCGUGACAUGCUAGAUGACAUCGUCUAGUGUUGAAGUCAUUUUCUACUAUGAUAUUUGUCAAAAAUUUAAAAGUGGGGGAAUAUUAUAGUAAUCCAGUUGUUAUAGACGUUUGAUGUGAGCAGAAAAUUCUGUCUCCUUUUCUAUUGCAAUUCCAUUUCCAAGAGUAGUUGACGAGUCCAAACUAGAGAAAAAAUAUUCUUGACGGAGUAGCGAGCAUUUUUGUCAAUGUCGAUGGGGUUGGUUUCCUACUCCAGCUGACUCAUAAAGGGCCACAAUUAUGCAACACGUGAUAAAGCGGCCAAGUAAAGUUUCACCUUCCUCGGUUUGGGGGACAAAUUUCAUCUCACGAAUUUCAUUAUAUAUUUAGUUAAUAACACAAUAGAAAUUGAAUGACUAACAUAAAAAAACCUAUAAAUCAAGGGACAUCUAGUGAAAUUUUUCCUUCCAAAAUUACCCUUGGAGUACGUGGCUUAAUACAAGCCACCUAAAGACAUGCAAAAUCAAGACCCUCCUUGAAAAAGUUAAGUUUAGGCCGUACUUACGAUGGAAAAAAACAACACAAAAGAUCUAUCCCCAUUAUCCUCAAUAAAUCCCAGCCCUCCAUUGCCACCCAUCCAACGGUUUACAUUUCCUAAAAUCACAUAACCAUAUCCAACAAAAUCACGUCCACUCAUAAAAACACCAAAUCUUUAUCAUUCUUGAUCAUCUUCUAUCCUCGAGAAUAUCGAAAAUGGCCUCUAUUGCCCUCAAAUCCUUCAUCGGACUCCGCCAAAUCACAUCGGAAAACAAAUCAAUAGUUCUAACGAAACCCAACACCCAAACCUACCAUAAAAUCCGUAUAAAUGCCUCAAAAACCAGCCCAAGAGUCAACGGAAGGAACCUCAAAGUUGCGGUGGUGGGAGGUGGCCCGGCAGGUGGAGCCGCAGCGGAGACACUCGCUAAAGGUGGCAUAGAGACGAUCCUGUUCGAACGGAAGCUUGACAACUGCAAGCCAUGUGGUGGUGCUAUCCCACUUUGUAUGGUGGGGGAAUUUGACUUGCCACUGGAUAUUAUCGACCGUAGAGUCACUAAAAUGAAGAUGAUUUCACCGUCUAAUGUGGCUGUUGACAUUGGCCGGACCCUUAAGCCCCAUGAAUAUAUAGGGAUGGUCCGCCGUGAAGUCCUCGAUGCCUACCUCCGUGACCGCGCCGCCACUGCCGGAGCCACCGUGAUUAACGGCCUGUUCUUGAAAAUGGACCUGCCCAAAUCCACAGGUUCUUCCUAUGUGUUGCAUUACUCGGAUUACAACGCCAAAACCGGUGGCGCCGGUGAGAAAAAGACAAUGGAGGUCGACGCCGUCAUCGGCGCCGACGGUGCUAAUUCCCGUGUGGCAAAGAACAUAAACGCCGGUGAAUACGAGUACGCCAUUGCAUUUCAAGAACGCAUUAAAAUCUCCGAUGACAAGAUGAAGUAUUACGAAAAUCUAGCUGAAAUGUACGUAGGCGAUGACGUUUCACCUGAUUUUUACGGCUGGGUUUUCCCAAAAUGUGACCAUGUAGCUGUUGGCACAGGCACAGUAACCCACAAAGGCGACAUCAAGAAACUCCAAAUUGCCACAAGAUUGAGAGCCAGGGACAAAAUUGAAGGAGGAAAAAUCAUAAGAGUGGAGGCACAUCCUAUACCAGAGCACCCCCGGCCGAGGCGAGUACUCGACCGAGUAGCUCUGGUCGGGGAUGCAGCCGGGUAUGUGACGAAAUGCUCCGGCGAGGGGAUAUAUUUUGCGGCCAAGAGUGGAAGAAUGUGUGCAGAGGCAAUAGUUGAAGGAUCGGAAAAUGGGAAAAGAAUGGUGGAUGAGAGUGAUCUGAGGAAGUAUUUGGAGAAAUGGGACAAGACAUAUUGGCCUACAUACAAGGUUUUGGAUGUUCUUCAGAAGGUGUUUUACAGGUCGAAUCCGGCGAGGGAAGCAUUUGUAGAAAUGUGUGCAGAUGAAUAUGUGCAAAAAAUGACAUUUGAUAGCUAUUUGUACAAGAGAGUGGUGCCUGGGAAUCCACUUGAUGACUUGAAAUUGGCUGUGAAUACAGUUGGGAGUUUGGUGAGGGCUAAUGCACUUAGGAGGGAGAUGGAGAAGCUAAGUGUAUAAGGAAAUUAAUUGUGUUAUGAGGGUUAUUAUUUUUGAUAUGUUACUGAAAGAUUUUAUUUUAAGAUAUGACAAUGUAUGAAGGAUCAUGUGUUGCUACCAUCUGAUUAACUUUCAGGAAUCCAUUUGCCAAAAUUUAUAUAUUGAUUAAACUUCAAUAAACGAAGCAUCUCAAACGCUACUCCGUUUACGGAGGAUUAUAUAUAUACACGAAAUGAUCUUCUAAACAAUGAUGCUUAGAUAAUGUUAAGCACGGGUAAUGUGGCACACCAUUUGAUUGGUGAAUAAGUUAAUAAUAUGUCUCAUGUAUUUAAUGAUUUAUCAAUUGAAUGAUGUGCCACUUUACUAGUGUUUAACAUAAACUAAGCAUCAAUGUUUAAAAGAUCAUUUUUAUGUAUGUGUAUAUAUAUAACGGUUGUUAAGUCUAGCUUUGCUAUAAAAAGUUCGACUUCAUCUCCCUCUUCUCAUGGAAAGGAAGAAUAGCGAGUCUAAUAGUUCUUUCUUGAUAUAUGGUCUUUCAAAACCAAAUGCACUUCUUACUUGCUUUCAUCAUCGCUUUUUAGUUUUAUUUUUCUGAAGGGUAUUCCUAGCUUAAGAUUGUAAUUGUUUGUGUUCACUUUUAACUCCUUAGUUUUUUUUUUUUUUAAAUAAACUCAUUGUAAAUUUUUAUACUUUGUCAUAUGCCUUCCGAUGAUCAGUAACUAAUAAGUUGAAUGUAAUUCUUUCAAGGUAAGUAUUAUUUUAUACUAACAUACUAGAGUAGGUGAUAAUGUUACCAUUUAUCUUUAUAUAAGCAUUUUAUAAAUAUAAAAUAAUAAUAUAUUUUGUCUGUUGGAAAACAAAAGGGAAAAUUGCAGCAGGUCCCAAACCUUUCAAAUUUUUGCAGAUUUACCUUAACUUUCAAUUUGUGUCAGCAAAGGUCUCUAACCUUUAAAAAAUAUGCACCUGAGAUCCAAAUAGAUAGAAACCGUCCAUUUGACCAAUAAAAUUGAACUUUGACCAAUUUUGACUAAUUUAAAAGGGUAACUUUGCUAUUUAAUCCUAUAAAACAAUUAAAAUAAAUUAUCAAAACAAAAUAAAAAUAAUAAAAGGAAAAAAUAUUCAUUUCCACCCUACCCCCAAUUUUCGUUCACUUCAAUCGAUUCCUCUUCCUUCACCGAGGUUUCUAUGCGAACUCUUCUGUUGGCUCUACUAUCAACACACUGUUAUUGUUCGACUGCACCUUAGCCCUAGUGAAUGGUCCAUUGUGGUGGAUUAUAGGAAAUGACACCGGAAAUGGCUUUUCUUGUGCCUUGCGCUUGGAGGAAAUGGUUUGAGUAGUUGAACCACCGCUACUGUUAACGGAGGCAGAUUUUUGCUUGUGGUCAACACCUCUUCGCCUUGAGGUGGGUUGCUCCGAGGGCAUAGCCUCAGGAGGCUUCAACUGAGUUACGCGGUGGAGUUCCUGUACAGUCUCUUAGCUUUUCCUCCAUCUCACUGGUAUUUUUAGGCAAAUUCUUCAGUGGCUUAUGGGUGAGAUGUAUGCAUUUGUAUUUGUACCACUUAGUCGUUUUAAUCUGUAAUGCAGCCCACUGUUAAUGGGGGUUAAUUUUCGCAUGUGGCCGCUGAUACAUACUUAUUAGGCACUUCAACGAGCUAAUUAUUGAUGAAAUUGAGUAGAUUCCUAUUCAUAAUUGUGUAAUUACGGUGUUUGUAGGCUAAAAGUCCAAAUUGGAGGAGAAAAGAACUAAAUGAAGGAAGAGGAGACCAAAAGUGCACAAAAACAUGACUUGGAGACCAAAGUGUUCAAGUGUUGAAAGUUUGGGGACUAUGGUUGCAAUUUUGGAGGGCCAAAGUGAUAUGAAAAUUAAAUGUUAACGACCAAGUUGUACACGAUCAAAGUUGAGGGGCCUUGUGUGCAACUAAAUGGAGGACUAAGUUGGAAAAAGAAAUGAAGAAAGCCCCCGGUCACGCGUGCAAGAAGCCCUUUGUGAUCUCUUGAGGCCAAAAACAUCUCAAGGUGUGCGUGCACCACAAAUGCCCCGGUGCGCGCCGCUUUCUUGCUCGACAAAUUUUGCCUAUUUCGCGUAAAUUUCGAGAAAUCUUCCACAAUUUCACUUGAGAUGAUUUUUGGCCAUUUAAAUACCCAAAAGUUGGUCACUUCUAGGGCAAGAUCUAUAGGAGAACACUUAGAAAAGCUUUAAAGGAGAGAAGAGGGAAGAGGGAGAGAAUAUCUAGCAAGAUUUGAGAGUUUUCCUCUAUUUUUCUAUUGUCUUCUUCAUUUUUGUAAUGGGUUCUCUCUUUAUUUUCAUUUUUUUUUUGUUUCUAUUUUGCAAUGGGCUAAGUGUUAAAUAUUGGGAUUUAUGAUGUAACUUAACACAAGUUUCUUUAAUGUCAAUAUUCAUCGUUUAAUGCUCUAAUUACUAUGUUAUCGAGCAUUUAUUAUUGUGCUUAAGUUUUUAUCAUGUAUGUGGCCAAUAUAUGAUUGAUUUAAGUUGUUUGUGCAACUAUUGAGAGAUUGUUGUGCAUUCUUGACCAAAAUAAUUAAUGCCCUAUGUUGUUUUAGAAAAUAGAGAUAUACUCCAAACCCCAAGUGAUCCAUUGAGUUAUUUUCAUAACGAUUUAAUGUGGUCGGUUGAAUUUUUAUCAACAUAAAGAUAUAGUAGAUAAAACCAAUCAAUUAUGAUUAAUUUCGCUCAAGAGAGCUAAUUAACUGAAAAUCGAGUUUAACAAUGUAACGAAGUAAUUUGCAUUUUCUAUUUGUUGCAAUAUUAAAGAAACGACUGUUAAAAGACAUCGUAAAUCCCAACUCAAUUAUAAGUCAAAUUUCCUUUUCUUCAAUAAUUGUUAUUUUAAUUGAUCUUCAAAUUCAUUUUCCUUUCCUUUUCACAUAUAAAAUCUAAUUGUGUUUUUUCAAUUGUGAAAAUUGAGUCAACAAUUGUAUAAUUAAUUAAAAAAAUUCCUUGAGGGAUCAAUACUCGGACUCAUAAGUCUACUUUAUUACUUGAACGCGCCAUUGCACUUACGGUAUAUAAUUUUAGCUGAUAGCCACCGGUGAGUAUCCGCCAUUAUUCAAGUUUCCGGUAGGGUGGGAGAUGAAUAGUUUUUCCUUUUAUUAUUUUUAUUUUGUUUUGAUUAUUUAUUUUAAUUGUUUUAUAAAAUUAAAUAGCAAAGUUACCCUUUUACCGUUUUAAAUUGGUUAAAGUUCAAUUUUAUUGGUUAACUAACGGUUAAAUGUACAGUUUUUAUUCAUUUGGAUCCCAUGUGCAUAUUUCUAAAAUGUUAGGGACCUUCAUUGGUAUAAAUUAAAGAUUAGGGUAAAGUCUGUAAAAAUUGAAAAGGUUUGAGACCGCUGUUGUAAUUUUUCCAAAACAAAAAGUAAUUUAUUGUGAACAAAAUAUAAAAAGAUAGUGAAUUGGUGAUCAGAAACAGUGCUUUACAAAAUAAUAAUAAUAAUAAUAAUAAUAAUAAUAAUAGAAAGAAAAAGAAAACAGAAUUCCAUUUCGAAAUAUCCUAAAUAUUGUCCUAUGUUUACAUUACUAUCAUUAGCUAGAAAAUCUUAUUCUGUCAUACGUUUGGCUCACAUUUUUUAAAAUUCAUUUUAGAUUUCACUUUUAAUUGAAUCCAAAAUUUUGACCAACUUUUUAAUUACAUAUUUUAUCAUUUUUUAUUAAAAUUUAUUAAAAAUCUAACUUUCAGCUAAAUCAAAACACUUCAUAAGUUGAAUGUGCACAAUUUUUUAAAUUGAAAAAAAAAAAAAAAAGGAAUUAAAGUCCUUUUCAUGCCCACCAACCAUCCAAUAUAUUUCUUUUUUCAUCAAAGCUAUCUCAGCCGUCCGAAACCCCAAUUCCUAGGACCAAGAUGUUUGGAACUAUAUCAGAAAAUAAUGUAGCGAUUAUUAGAUAAAAUUUUAUCAAUUUUUAUUCUGCUUAAAUUUAUAUGUCUUUAAUGAAAUUUAUAAUUUUUAUCAACAUUUCAUUUGUAAAUUUUGUCAAUUUUUAUUCAAAUUCGACUAAAAUUUUGUUAAACAACAUCCUAGCAUCACCUGAAAGAGAUUCAAAUAUUUGAGCUUCAAAUCCACGCUGUUCCAAUCAAAAUAUUGUUUCUUUAUUUAAAUUACACAAAAAAGUGCAACCAUACAACAAGUGAAAACAUUAUUUUUGGUAAAAGAAAUGCAAUUAUUAUUUAUUUAUUUUUAAGUGAAACAUUUUACGUCGACAAAGUGUGUCGGUAUAUGUAGGUGUAGAUUUGGUCGAGGACAUACGGCGGAGAAACUUAAGCUAAACAAACUCAUCAGUCAACAAAUACACACACUCCAGCGUGUAUUUGCGUGUAAAAAGCGGCUAUUUAAUUCGUUCGACCCAUUUCGAAUCACCCACCUGGAAAGUUUCUGUUAAAGGUUAACAAAUCCUGUUUUGCUUUCUCUAAUCUCUUUUCAUUUAUUUCCGUUCGGUAAGAAUUUUCUGUUCUACACGAACCCUUCAGAAAACAAGGAAAAAAGAAUUGUAAGUUAAUUCUAUCUGAUUUUAAGAUUUUGAUUCUUAGUAUUUGAUUCUAACUCUUUAAUUUGUAGAUCUUGCGGUUUGUAUUAUAUUUGUGAAUGCGUAUGUGUUAAUUUAAUACGUGGAAGAUAAAUUUAUGGCACUUUGUUCUGUUCUUCCACCCAGAUUCAGACAUGAAUUUUAUGGGCAAUUGUUUUUCUUUUGAACCUAUUCCUUUAUUAAUUUUUAGUUAUACCAAUGGGAAUAUACGGCAUUUUAACGUAUAUUGUCUGUUUAGCUGAAAUGGUUUUAGUUUUUAGAUUUAUACUGAAGACAAUUUAGAGAAAUGCCAAGGCACUUACGGUUGAACGAAUGCCUGAAUUUGGGACCUGAUUGUCAGGUGUAUUAAGGCUUCGGUUCCAUCUUGUUAAUAGUAGCCCAAGGCCUCGUAAAAAUCUUGGAAUUUGAAUUCUGGUUUGAGCUUUACAUGGACGAAUUGCUUGUCUUCAGCUCUGGUACGAUAUCGAGGCUUGAGUUCUAUCUUAAAACAUUAACCUUGCCCAGAGGAGUCGCCCAAAUUUUUAUAUUAUUUAUUAUUUUUAUAUUUAUUCGAUGUUGGGUUGGGUUAUCCCUUUAAGGAGGACCAGUGAUUGUGUGGGUUUUGUUUUUAGUGUAAACUUCCAUUGACCAAAUGUUUUGUGAAAAUGAUAUGAUUUGGUGCCUUUCUGAUACAUCAUAGGUGAUUCACUCCAAAAUUGCAAUUUGUGUUUAGCAUUCCACAUUAGUUAUUUCUGUUUGAGUUCGAGUAAGUUUUAUUGUAAAUUUCCUUGAAUGAUAAGAUGGUCCGUCAAAAUGAUAAGAGGAUUUCUGCACUUUCAUGAUACCAAAAAUGUGAUAAAUAGCAACACAAAAAGAUUUCAUGAUCAAUGAGCCUUUGCAAAGAAUGAUGUUGCCGAGAAUCUGAAAUUUCUAGCUUCAUUCUAGAGAUCUUUUAGCAUAUGAUGCUUGAAGUUUAGGUUUGAUUUGCUUGCUUAAAUUGCCUGUAUUUUUCUAUUAUGCUUUAGCUGUAAAGUAGGUCAUGGAAAGCACUAAUUCACUUGUCUAUUUCUUAGAAUGCUGCUGAAUCGCAGCUAUUACUGUUUUGACACGCUUCAAGCACUAAUCUUAGUUGAAUGUAAUAUGCUUCAACUUGGCCUUAAUUUGUUGAUAUUGAAACUCUUCUACUGCAGUGCACUUGUAAAUUGAUGGUUUGAAAUUGUAUUUCUUUUAAUUUUUGCAGGUUGUAAGAUGGCAGCGACAUCAACAACCAACUUUUCAAUUGGACCUGCUGCAUCUGCCAGCUCCAAACUAGGCCCAGUUUCACAGUCAAAGCCCUUUCGUAUCAGAUUCAAUCCUACAAAUCACCUACGGAGUUUCAAUGGCCUCAGGACUGCUAACUCUGUGAGCUGUGAAUCAAAAUCAUUGUUCUUAGGCAGUGAAAGCAGUGCAGUUCUUAAGCGCUCUUAUAUUGGUAAAGCCCGAAAAUAUAACAUGAUAUCUUAUAGAAAUGUCCAGAUUCAGGCAUCUUAUAAAGUAGCAGUCCUUGGAGCUGCUGGUGGUAUAGGCCAGCCACUAGCACUUCUGAUCAAGAUGUCACCAUUGGUUUCUGCACUGCACCUCUAUGAUAUAGCAAAUGUAAAGGGAGUUGCAGCGGACCUUAGUCACUGCAACACACCCUCUCAGGUAUUGGAUUUCACUGGAACAUCUGAAUUGGCCGCUUGUUUAAAGGGUGUAAAUGUUGUUGUCAUACCGGCUGGCGUUCCAAGGAAGCCGGGAAUGACCCGUGAUGACCUAUUUAACAUUAAUGCUAACAUAGUGAAGACCUUAGUUGAGGCUGUUGCUGAUAACUGCCCCGAUGCCUUCAUCCACAUUAUUAGUAAUCCUGUUAACUCCACCGUGCCAAUUGCUGCGGAAGUCUUGAAGCAAAAGGGGGUAUAUGAUCCAAAGAAACUCUUCGGAGUUACCACCCUUGAUGUUGUAAGGGCAAACACAUUUGUUGCUCAGAAGAAAAACCUAAAGCUCAUUGAUGUCGAUGUCCCAGUCAUUGGAGGUCAUGCUGGGAUUACUAUUUUGCCCUUGCUGUCGAAGACAAAACCGUCAGUUACUUACACCAAAGAAGAAGUUCAGGAGCUAACCGUCAGGAUUCAAAAUGCCGGGACAGAAGUUGUUGAGGCAAAGGCUGGUGCAGGGUCCGCCACUCUUUCUAUGGCAUAUGCUGCAGCAAGAUUUGUUGAGUCCUCGCUUCGUGCUCUUGAUGGGGAUAGCGAUGUCUAUGAGUGCACCUUUGUCAAGUCUGACUUGACAGAGCUCCCAUUCUUCGCUUCAAGGGUUAAGAUAGGACGGAAUGGGGUUGAGGCAUUGAUUUCAUCAGACCUCCAAGGAUUAUCCGAGUAUGAACAAAAGGCUUUAGAAGAGCUCAAGCCAGAGCUGAAGGCCAGCAUUGAGAAAGGUGUAGGUUUCAUUCAGAAGCAACCUGUGACUGCUUAGAGCUUUUCUAAUGUUUCAAUCAUCGAGAAGAAAUAAGGGAUUUCAGCUAUCUCAGAUAUGUUGAUGCAACAGCAUUCCAGUUUUGUAGACGACUUGAGAAAUGUGUUCGUUCCCGUAUCCCCCCUUACUACGUAUUGAAGUGAUUUUAUCACCGAGAUAAGAGUAACUGGUGUAAUAGGAUUUUGUUGUCACGUGAGUUAUGUACUACUUAAUGACAUUGCUUGGAAUGAUGUCAAUCGUUCAUAGUCCAUGGAAUCUUGCAUUUGUGUGGGGGUAACGUUAAUUCACUCCUUUCAAAUCAAUUCUCGUUGCCUUUAUAUUGUGCUUACUCGCAAAUAGCAAGAUCAAACAAGUAUCUUGUAUUCGGAUAUCAUCUCCUUGUACAACAGCUUGUCUUGGUUCAGGAUCCAACGUUGAAUGCAAGCUGCAAAGGAUCGUUCCAAAACAUCUCCAUUAAAUGGACUUCUAAAGCAGUCUUUCGGAUGGGAAAGAAUAAUGCUGGAAAAUCAAAGGCAGAAUGGCAUCCACUGGUUUUACAUCAAAAACCAAAAUAUAUCGAGACAUUGUAUAGUUCUCGAAGGGAUUACCAAAGAAAAAAUGUUUAAAUAGUACCGCCUCACCAGUUGAAUAAGAAAAGCUACUCUAGAAGAGGUAAAAUAUCUUUUUAGUUCUCUUCGUUUCUAUUCAUUUGAAAGAGCAUGUGUCGACCAUAUAAUAAAUGGCGUUCGAUCAUGAAUCAAAUGGUACAAAAGAAGGAAGGUCAAGAAAUUGCAACAGAAAAUAGCAUAAAUUCAAUGCCAAAACACAGUUUAGCAAACAAACAAGCAACGGACAUCACAUUUUGUAUAGCUAAGAAGUUGAUGUAGAAAAAAUAUCUGAAGAUGUUUCUUUCUACCAAUACUUAAUAUUUUUAAUAUUUAAUUAAGUCCAUCGCAAAUAAAAAAUAGACUGUUGCCUCAAUGUCUCCACCUUCCUCCUCUACCACGGCCUCGACCAUGCCCAUGCCCACGGCCACCUCUUCCACCUCCACUCAGUGCCUUAUUGACAUCAUGUUUUGUUUGCAGGUUUUCUGGCAAGGGAAGUAUGUGAUCCACACACUUUCUGAAGCUGAAAUCAUCAACUGAUUCAUCAUCCCUUAUGAGGAAGAAGCAACGACUUCUAAACUGAGGAUGGAAACGAACUUGGAAAGCUUGAACCCCGUUGCCUAUCUUUUUCUCUGGCUCCAAAUGACCUUUCUUGAGCAACUCCAGUAACAUAAUGUGCUCAUACUGCAAUAUAAGGCAAGUAAAAAGAUAAACAGAUCCAGCCACAUUCCUGGAAACUUAAAUCUAACGUGUAAUUUAACAUGCAUAUCAACAGUUGUAACUCCUGUAUUCCAGGUUAAGAGCGAAACAUUUUCUCAUUGAAGACUAAUAUUAAACAAUGUCAGCUAACAAAACAUGGUAAUGAUCUCUACGGCUCUACUUGAAUCUGAAAGGGAAGUAAAGGAAAAGAAGAGCAUGGUUAUUCUAAAAAAGUAAACAAACAAGCAUAAACUAUGAAACUAAAGUUCACAAUUGUUUGUUUUAGUUUACUGUUUAAAAUUCUAAUACAAAACUUUCAAGUAAUCAUACUAGCCAUCGCUGCCAAAAGGAACUCGAAGCCCAAAAUACAAUGUUCACCAUUAUCCCAUCACAGACGGCCAACAAAUUCUACAUUCAAAUCAAGACCAUUAAAUGAUAGAGUCACAGACAAAAGAAAAAAAGCUUUAACAAAUCCAGCUCCCAAAUCCCUGCUCGGAAGUAAUUCUGGAGCCAUAGUUCAAAAGGACAAUACUCAUUCACGCAAAUAUGAUCAGAAUAGGGAUAAUUGACACAGAUACUUAAUCUUGGUACAAUCAAAAUAACUGAUAGUUCUUACACACAGUUGGCCUACAUUCAAUAUCCAGCUAGAUUGUCUAAUGAAAGACCAGAAGCACUUUAGAUGUUCUACAACUAUGAAAACCCCACAUACACCAAGUUAAGAUAAACAAUCUGGUGCAUGUAUGAUGCUGACAUCUAAAUUUUAAAUUGAUAAAACUUCUGAAUCUAAGAUUCAUGGAGACAGCAGAAUAUUAUAAUACCCCUUUGAUUUUAUUUUUUAUGGCAAAAUGGUAUUCAACUUUAUGAUGUAGAUGUUCUGGAAAAGUAAAAACCUUUGAUGUGCAUCAUAAGUUCAUGAUCAAUACAAACUAUCAAGUCCUAGUCUGAGCAAACCCAAAAAACAGAUACAUCAAUGCAUUUAGACAACAGAUAAAUUAAACAUGCACCCUGCAAACCACCUUUUAAUAGAAUCCUAGCACUACCUCCAACUUCCUUACCUCUAUUGAAGCAAAACUAGUUUAUAAUCAAAUUUCUGCAGAAAACAUCACGACUCUUGGGAUUAACAAUAUUUUAUGCCUUCCCAUUUAGAUAUCUCAGGGUAGGGUCCCUUCACAUGGGUGGAUUGGACCUAACAUACAAAUCCAUCCCCAAAAUUAAUUGAUUUGUGACAUUUUCUCAUUUUCAGAGUUGAGACAACCCCAGCGCGUUCCCGUAUAUCAUCCCAUUGUCUCCAAAAUUUUCACUAAUUUCACAACAAUAUUCAUUUUCUGCAAACAUGUUUAAUCAUCUGAGCAUAAGACAAUCUUGCUUUAAGCACAGUUCCAAUAUAGAUAACUUCGGCUAUCGUAAACAAUUUCCCCGAAACAUCUGUUAAUUUGAUCAAUAAAUAAUCCCUAAAAGGAAAAUAAAGAGCUCAGCCAUUAAUUUACCUUAUUCACAUUGAUGCUCGGAGGCCACGUGUGCAGAAACUUGUAAAAGUAAUCAAACAUCUCCUUGGACGAUUCAAAUACCUUUGGACCCAAACUGACCGGAGCCGACUCCACCGUUUCUGCUUCAUUGUCUUCCAAAUUCUCUAGCCGUUGUUCUUCGACUGACUUCUCGUCAACCUUCAAUUUCUUCCCUCCAUUCUCUUCCUCCUCUUCUUCCUCCCUGUUGCGUUUCGAGCCGCCGCUGUUUUCAGAAGUGGCUGGCGCCGAAUCAGCUAGCGCCGGCUCGGAUGCAUCGGCUGCUUGGGGUUCGAGCUCCAUGUCUUGCUCGAUGGUUUCUGGAGCUGAUUCGUCGGCCAUAACAGAGGUCUUGUAGUGCUCGAUAAACCCUAGCGUCUAGCUUUAUAAACCCUUCCUUUCCUUUUCUUAUUUGCCCUUCUCUCUUCUUUUCUUUUCUUUUACGGGUAAAUUUCAUCAGCAGUCACUAAACGUUUAAUAACAUUGUAAUUAAGUCACUAAACUUAAAUUUAUUUCAAUUAAGUCAAUGAGAUUCGGAGAUCUAUCCUGUAUCGAUAUACAUGUGGGUUCUUGAUAUUAUCCACGCGCAUAUAAAUAACAAUCUUCUUUUUAAUUUAUCAAAAAUCAAAUUUGAAUUUCAUCGUCGACUUCUGAGCAGAACUACGACUUUUCUCCAUCUUUAGUCUAAAGGAUCCAUUCCGAAACACUUUGAAAAAGAAUUCAUACAUCAUUUGCAUUCAGGUACGCUCAUUUUAGUUUUACCAGUUCUGUUUUUCUUUUUAGCCUUCAAUACAAUUCUUACUGAGAUUUUUGUCCGUAAGCGAUUGCCUAAAUUUUCUGGGUUCUGGUUUUCUUUGCUUUUGUUUUUCCUUUACACACACACACACACACUGAUUCUUAGAUUUUUAGAUUUUUUGGUUGGAAAUUUCUAAUCCUCGUCUUGUUAAAACUCUUUUUGGUAGCUGAUAAAACUGAGAGAGAAAAGAAUUUAUUGUGUUUAGUAAGUAACAGCAAUUGCACUAUUAUUUAAAUACUUUGAACUUUAUUUCUCAUGAAAAUUAAUUUGGAGAGAAAAAUCAUAAUCCCAAAUUUUUUACAAAAAUAAAAAUAAUAAUAAUAAUAAUUUUUUUUUAACACUCAUUUGCAUUAUUUUUUUCGGAAAUUAUGAAAUGAAAAAGUUUGUGCUUUAAAUUCUGGUCUCUGGAAAUCGAUGGUUUGUGCCAAGUUAAAGUAUUUUAUUGAAUUUAAUUUUACUUCGGAGGUAAGACAAAUAAUAUAUUCACGUUUGUACUGAAGUGGUCUCAAUUUUCAUCAGUUGAAAAAAGAUAAGGAAAAAAGAGUUCAUUCUUUUAAGCUGCUUAUUAAAUUCAUAUUUCAAGUCUCUUAAUGAUUGAUGAAUUUUUGUUAAAAGUAAAAUGACUUUGGUAGGACGCAAUGGGAGAGCCCUCUGUUGAUCACAUGCCCGCAUCAUUGCAGUCACUGCAAAGGGGUGAGGCUUCUGCGGAGAGUUCACACCCUCAAACUGUUGCUCCAUUUAUUUCAGUAAUUGAUAUUCAGGAUGAUGAACAACAACUAGUAGCUGGUGAAGAAGACUGUUUGAUUCAAGUUAUGGAAUGUCGCAUUUGUCAGGAAGAAGACAAUGUUAAAAAUUUAGAGAUUCCUUGUGCUUGUAGUGGCAGUCUGAAGGUAUCUUUGUGGGCUCAGUCGUUUUCUUUAUUUGGGCAAUUUUGCUAUCUACUUACUUAGUCAGUACGUAUAUGUGUAUGCCCAUGUUCUCUUUAUGAUGGUGAUGAUAUCAAAAAAUCAAAUGUAACUUCUAUAUGUAAGAUGACUUUAGUGCUUAUGGUUUCGUAGUCUCAAUUUGCCUGUCCAUGGUUUGUUCAUUCGUAGAUUUUUCUGUGACCUACUUCCUAUUGUUUCUCUUCUUGUUCCUAUGAAAAAUCCAGUAUGCGCAUAGGAAAUGUGUCCAGCGAUGGUGCAAUGAGAAAGGAGAUGUAACAUGCGAGAUUUGCCAGCAGGUGUGUUAAUGCUAAUUUGUUUGUUUAUUUGUUGAUUUUUCUGCUUUUUGAGUUGUGAUGCUUCAAUGCUUAAAUGCCCCAUACAAUAUUUGUUGAGAUUUAGUACUUUCUAUUUCUUUUGUACAAGAGACCUGGCAAUUGAAAAUAAAUAAAAUCAUGAGCUUAUAUACCCUUUUAGUUUUUCACACACUUCUUGUUAUGGACUAGAUUCCAGCUUUGAGUGAGGGUAAAUAUAGCCAGUAUGAUUUGUAUUUCGGUGGUUAAUCAUUGCAAUCUUGAGACCUGAUGUGGAAAUAUAUGCCAGGAUUGUACAGAAUAUAGGUGUUGUGAGCUGUACAUUUUUAUUUUAAGCUAAUUUGUGCAUUUAAUUUUCCCCAUUGUACAGCGUUACCAACCAGGCUAUACAGCUCCACCUCCUAUCCAACCUGAUGAUACCACCAUUGAAAUCAGGCAUGUUUUGAGUACUUGGUCCUUUCACUUAUUUGAUCAAUUCAUUAAUGCGUUCUGGGUGAGGCUAAUCGUUGUUUACCUAUUUGAUAACAAGCCUUUGGAUGUAUUGAUAUAGCAAUUUUAUUUAGUACUCCCUCUGUCCCACAAAAAAUAGGGUUGUUUUCAUUUUCACACAAUUUAAGAAAAUAAUAUAGGUUGAAAUAUAAUCUUUUCUUUCAUUUUUUUUAAUAUAUCCCUACAUUAAAUAAUUAUUUAAAUAAAAACAGUUCAUAUUUGUUGAUAACAAGGCAAUUAAAUAGGGGCAUAUUAGAAAAUUAAGAAAUCAAUUAUACUUUCAAUAAAGAAAGUGACCUAUAAUUUUGGAUUGACGAAAAAGGAAACCAACUCUAUCUUUAUGGGAUGGAGGGAGUAACAAAAGGUGAUCUUGGAAGCUAACUUUGUGAUAUCUAUAGAAGCAAUGCUUAUGAAUAGUAACAUAUGUAUUUUCCAGAAAUUUCAAGGUUUCAUUAUUGUGUGUCUAUGUAGAUACGCAAAAAGCUAAUCAUUUGUCUGGUAUUGGCCAAAGCUUGCUAACGGGGUGGGGCUGCGGGGGCUGCUGUUGUUGACAUUGCCUUUGGGAGUGGAUUUUUCAUAAAUGAAGCAGGGAAAGAAGUACUAAGUCUUGGGCCUGUGGAUUAAACUUAAUAUUUGGGUAUUAAACUUAAUGUUAUUUGUAUAUUGAAAUAAACUGGAUUUGUUGGUUGAUGACUGAAUGUCUGUUGAUGUCAAUAGUUGUCUGUUUCAAGUAUCAACAGCUUUUCAUCAUCUUGAUUGUGCCUUUUUCCCACCCAUGUGGGGAGCACUAUGAAAGAUGCCAAUGCUGCCCAGAGGCUAUAAUUUAGGGACUUGAAUCAUGCAUCGCUUGUAUUUGAUUCUCAUUCAAUCUGUGUAUUAGUCAUUAGAGAUCGCAAGUAAUGAUUUUUAAUUGCUUUCUGUUAAUGUGUAACCGUUGGUUAAGCUUGUCAACAUGUAUUGGAUCAGAAAAAGAAUAGGUAUCUUUUUAUGGUGCGAGUACAAAUAUUAGACAAUAUUGUUUUGUAAUCUUUUAAAUGUAUGCAAUAUAAACAUUUCUCUUUCAAUUGAUAGAAAAUUUUGGAGGAUUUUUCUUAGAUAUAGUUUCAAAUAAUGAACAAGGUGUAGCUGAACAUGGUUUGCGAUAUCUAAGGUUGAAAAAAAAAAAGAAACAAAAAUACUUCCUGGCAUGGAAGAAGUGCAUGGCCCACUGACGUAAAUAUAUUGAAUAAGGUAAUGGUUUUUGCAAAUGCAAAAUUGGAUGUCAUAUAACAAGAGAAGUAAUUCCUGUUAGUAGUCAACUGACCAUGGUGUGGAUAUAGGAACCCACAAAACAAAUGUACUGCCAUUGAUAUGAAAUUUAUGAUAUACCAUGUACUAAAUGGUGGUUGUGCUCGUCUUCUUUUUACAAAUCCCAAACACUUCUGCAGCCCAAAGCAUCAACCUUUUCAUGGCCACAUGCCGUUGUUUUACCCCAUCAGCACCAUAAUCUCUCCAUCACCAUGUGGCUUGUCGCUAUAACCCCUCUGCAUGUCUAAUUUGACUUGUUACAAAAACCAGAUAAUGGUGUAAUCCUACGUUCAACUUCCAAAUAUGUGUGAUUGAUCAAUGUUCUAAUAUUUCUUUGAUCCCCACAUUUUCAAGAGAUAAAAUUGUUUCAAUUAAAAACUAUUUAACAUUUACUCUUGCUCUAAUCUAUUAGGCCUUCCUGUGAAGCAAAAAAUUUUGCUUUUGAGUGACAAUCACUUCCACCAAUUCUUCGUAACGUUAGUUGGUUAAUGUACUAAGUUGCAUCAGUUUAAGUCGUUUGAACUAAUAAACUCAGAAAUUAUACCUUUACAGUGGGGGCUGGACUAUUGCUAGUUCUCCUUUGGAUUUGCGUGACCCGCGACUUCUGGCUAUGGCGGCAGCUGAACGUCAUCUUCUCGAGGCUGAUUAUGAUGAGUACGCUGACUCAAAUGCUAGUGGAGCUGCAUUUUGUCGUUCUGCUGCUUUGAUUGUAAGGAACUGCUACUUAGUCUACUCACAUUCACAUAGGAUUAUAUUAUUUCUCCGAUGACUUUAACCUUUUAAAUAAUUGCAUGAUGCUAAUUGUAAGUUCUAAAUGUUAUGUUCUUGUUUCUUGUUAUCUUUAUUCUUUAGUAAGCAUCCAGUGCACUGAAAGCCUUUGUUCCCUCCCUUUCACUCUCUUUUUGUCUGGCACAUACAUGUAAGAAUACAAAGAUAUAAACAGAUGCCAGUCCCCCCGCACCCAUAACAACAAAGGCAGGAAGACGGAAGGGAAACAGGCGCUAAUCUGGUUGCUAAUUUGUCGCGUUGAUAAGAUUUUUUCCAAUAGUUGGUUUGUACUGUUCACGCUUCCUCUGGGUUUAUGAAAAUUGAGAUUCAACAAAUAUACCAUGGUGUAGUCCUGUCACUCAAUUCUAUUUAAUGGUCAUUUUUCGCCAAUUAGGAGUGAAGGUGGCAGAACAACUUGAUCUUUGUUUAUCUCUGCUGCCUACGUUUUUUGGGUUUCUCUAUUAUUUAUAGCUUGGUAAAUUUUAUAUUUUAUUUUUGAUUGCUUUUUAAUCUAUCUUCUGUGUCAGCUAAUGGCUCUUCUACUCUUGAGGCAUGCUUUAACAUUGGGAAAUGGUGGCAGUGCUGAUGAUGAUGUAUCAACCUUUUUUUCCGUGAGUUGAAUUUUCUGUUUCUUCUGUUAUAUGCAUGCCUACAUGCUUUAGACUUGUAUAGGCACGGUUGCUUACUCAAUUUUGUGAUUGACAAUUAACAGCUUUUCUUGCUUCGGGCUGCCGGCUUCCUUCUUCCCUGCUACAUUAUGGCUUGGGCCAUCAGUAUGUUGCAGCAUCGAAGACAAAGGCAGGUCAGAAUUUUUUCCCCUAGGGAAGAUGCAUUUUGAAAUUAAUUACUGAGCAUGGGUAAUUACUGGAUAGUGGUAAUUCCAUCCCUAGUUGUGUUUUAAUGUUAUUCUCUGAUAUGAAAAAAUAAAUUACUGAGUUAAAAAAUGUUCCAUGACUGCUGAUAUAUUUCUUUUUAUCUAUUAGAAGAUUGGUGACUCAGUAAAGGGUCACCCAAUUCUAUUUUACGUAUAUGUGGUAGUAAAGAUGAGAUACCGCCAAUGUGAUGAUGUAUCAUUAAUCUCCAUUCGUGUUGAAUUGUUUAACUUUUAUUUUUUUCGAGUAUUUACUUAUUUCCGUUUCAACUCGUGUUUGUUAAAUCAGGAAGCCGAAGCUCUAGCAGCAAGUGAAGUUGCUUUCAGGCUGCAGGCAGGGCAACAUGGGGGUUUGCAGGUCACAAUAGCACCCGAACCUGGAGCAAUAACAGGACCAAGCGUGAAUCCUCAUCCAGAGCCCGUUUAAUUAACUCUCAGCUUUCAUACAUCCUGCACACAUUGACAUAUGAAGAACUGAAGAUGACAGGUUUUUUCUUGUAGAAUCUUGGUGUGUUUUCUACAGAACUCUGUAUUCUGUUUCAGUAUUUUCUUUUUCUCUGCAAAUUUUAAACCAAACUUGCUCGAAUUGCACCUUUGUUUGUAUUCAGGGAAUCUUAAAUUUACAGAGCCGUUUUCGAAUAUAUCGAGUAUGACAGCGUUUGUUUUGAUCAGAUAAUUCAAUUGUCCGAUCUGAAUAUCCAAGUAUUCUGGUUUGAAUGUUCGUGUUUAGAUGGGGAUUGAUCACGUGAAGUCACCUAGUUUUGAGUUUGCUUGCAACUCCUUGUGCACCUAUCUUUGAUUUUGCAACUAAAACGAAAUUUCUAUUUCUAUUUAUUUCACGCAGAAUAAAUAAAUUAAACAAAAGUUUGAAUAACUUCUGUUAAGAUUUGAGGUUCCAUCUUAAAAGGUCAACCUUAUUAAGAGGAGUAGUCCAAAAUCUUAUUAGUUGAUCUAUGUUUCCAUCUUUAAUCGAUAUGAGAUUUCUAUCUCUUAACAUGCCCUUGCAAGAUAGUGGUUCAUUUGAGCAGACCAAUUUUAAAAUCUUAUGUUUAUUUAUUGAGUCUUAUUCGGAUCGAAUCAUUUAUUGGAAUUUAAUGGAUUCUGAUAUCAUGUUAAUUUUUUAUAUUUCAUCUUAAAAAGUCAAUUUUAUUAAGAGAAGUAUCCCAAAAUUUUAUUAGGGGGUCAAUGUUUUCAUCUUUAAUCGAUGUAAGAUUUUUAUUUCUUAACAACCUCUACCUAAUAAUACAGCACAAAGGAUGGUCCUCAUGGGACCAAAGCCAAACUUCUUGUCUCUGCAUGUGCCUUCUUGUCUCUGUCCGAAUGCACGUGGCCCCGAGAAGGUGUUUUUUUAUACAUUUUAUAGUCCCUAAACUUUUAAAUUUAUUUCUACCAUGAUGACUCCAUCCAUUUUCGUUAAGAAAUAACAUGGGCUAUCGUGACCUGCUGCUGCAACGAAUGCCAGCCUACAACUCAGGUUUUGCUCUAAAGGUAACAACACUAGGAAAUAACGUGGUCUAGUCGCGCUUUAUUAAUCUUUUUUUCUUUUAUAAAAAUCGUUUAUUUGGCUUUUAUUUUAAUUUUUUUUUUAAAAAAAAAUUGUAUAAUUGAUUAGUCGUGGGAUUUACUAAAUAAAUAUAGUAUUUUAUAAUUUUAGAUGUUUAAUAUGUUUAAUUUUAAUUAUUAAAUAAUUUAGAAUGAUUAAAAAUUUAAAAUAAUAUUAAAAAUAAGAAAUCAUUUUUUUUACGCCAAAACUCCUACAGCUAUAGUUUGAAACUUGAAUUUGAAUAGAUUGAUCUUCAUGCUUGACCUCACUUUCUGAUUUUUUAGAGCAAUGUAUGCAUAUGAUCAUCAAUGUUUGCCACUUCUGAAUGUCUAAACAAUGACCAUUUUUCUUUGUGAAAAGUUAAUUAUAAUUGGUUUCGGUACAUCAUAUGCAGCCUACGAAAGAAAAUAAUGUUGUUUUCAAACACUAGUUAGAACUGAGCGAGCAUUGUACGUUAUUCUGAAAUACUUUAUAAAUAAUGUAAAAGUAAUAAUUAAUACCAAUUGAUUCCACACAAAUCUGUAAAAGAUCCAUGAAAUUCACGGAAGUCAUCACGUAAAAAAUGUUCAUCAAAAUCUCCAAAAGUUCCAAUUGAAUACACCCCCUCAGAAGCAAUCUUGGCUGAAAUUUUCUUUGACUUUUUAAUUAUGAUGAAUGGAUGUUAUAAUUAGAUGAAAUAAAGAAAAUUUAUGCUAUUGAUCCCCAGUUUAUUAAUGAGUGUCUAGUUGGCUCCUAACCUUUAAAAAUGAGUAUGUUAGUACUUAACCUUCUGUUAUUUUGUAAAAUCGACACCAAAGUUAGCAAACUAUAAUAAUCACAUAAUCUUUACAUAUUUAAAUUUAUGAGAUUUGCUUCUUCUUCUUCUAUUUAUUUUUUUAAAACUUAAACUAGUGCUCAUAAUUUUGAAGUGGUGUUUAUACAAGAUUUUUGCAAUGAUUUUACGGAGAAAUGGGAGGAGAUUCUGCAAAUAUAUUUAAUAAAAAGUAUGGUAGUACCAACUUAGUACUCAAACAGUGUAAAUGGGGGACCGACCCACCAAUUUUUUCCGUCAAUAAUGUAUACAUAGGUCCUAGAAACAUCUUAUUGAAACAAUAAAAUUAAUACUAACAAAGCAGAUCGUUCUCGUUCGUCCUACAUAUGAAUUUAAUGAGUAAUCAUAUUUCUUGAUAUAAAAUAAUCCAGUGAUCUAGACACAAGAGCUAAGCCAUUGAGCAAGUUGUCCAAUAUCUUAUUGAAACAAUAAGAUUAGUACAUGUAAUAGGAAACCUUUGUUCUCAUUACAUUCUUUAAUGGACCACCUUUGAGGUCUUUUUUCCCAUAUAAAGCAUUCUAGCCAUAUUAUUAAUGAUUACCAACUUUUAUGUUAUUUAUUGCUACAUAAUACCCACACUUAGAGUCUGUAUAGACUAUUUUGCCAAAAUGGUAGAGUUCGAGUAGUUAUAAAAAGGUUUAGAAAUAUUAUUAGUUUUUUGAUAGACGGUUGUAUGAAGAAAUGCUUUUUGAUGUUACUUCAGAAACGAAAAAGAAAAAAGGUACUUAUUUCAAAACUAAAGGGGAAUACUUUUAAAGAAACUUAGGGUGCGGUUGGUUUCCAUUUUCAUUUUCAAAACGAUUUUUAGUUUUCCCCGAAAACGACCCAUUUUCCGCGUUUUGAGCGUUUUCGACAUUUAUAACUGAAAAUGUUGAAAAAUGAUAAAAAGUCGUUUUACAUUUUCAGUUAUAAAUUUUAACUCGUUUUCGAAAAUGCGUUUUCGAAAACGACGGACCAAACGCGUUUUUCGCGUUUUCGAAAAUGGAAAACGGAAAAUGGGCCGAAAACGGCAAACCAACCACGGCCUUAUUUUUUUCACAAUAAAUAAAAUUGUUCUAAAACUUUAUCUUUUUUGGCAUAUGCAAUCAUACAUUAAUUAGCAUGGAUGAUAUUGCUCCAGAAAUCCAUGAAAUGGCAGCUAAUUGGACCUUCCAACAAUUAAAAAUCCAAACUUGAGAUAUCAAGUUUAUAGUUUUCUGUUUGAGGAAUUUCAAAAUCUGAAAAGCGUCAUAAUAAAAAUCAAAACCUAAUUUUCAUUUUUCAGUAGCAGACACACAAAUGGUGCACAAACAGUUGGUUCCACUGGGAUUUAUUCCUAUCUGGUACAUAUCCAAAUACACUACCAAAUUUACACUUUCUCUCCUCCAAUACAUAUAUAUGGCAUCAAACUAUUAGUCGAAUAGCUAAGCUGUUUUGAAGAAGAUUUGUUUCUUCAGAACAAAUUAGAAGUUUCUCCCAAGGACAUGUCCACUAUUUCUUCCUCUCCUUGAGUAGUUACAUCAUCAAGAAGCCAUUUCUCUAGCAAAGUAAGAGGCAUUUGAUUGUUCAAGUCUUGUUUUUUUUCAUCCUUGAAAACCCCAUUUUCAGGUGUGAAAUUCGCUGCAGCCUCACCCGACUCAUCAGAAUUCAAGCUAAAGAGGGAAUGAUGCCCCCCUGGUGUUUUUGCACUCAUUUUCCCUUCACUAAGGUUAGAACUGGUUCCAACUGAAGGGUUAUUUUGAGUACUAACUGGUCCUCCUUGGGAUGAUUUCCGCGAGUUUUUCAUCCAGUCUUUGAGUAAACGAGCAAUAUUUUCUGUAUUGGACGCAUAUGUAGAUGUUUGGAUUGGGAAAGGCUCUGAAUCAGGCAAAUUAUUGUUGGAGUUUUCAAGGGAUAGAGCCUCAGACAGAGCUUGUUUCACCCUAUGAAUAUCAGUUUGAAGCCUCCUUUCCCACUGUCCUUUAGAGAUUGAUUUAGAAACUGAGUGCCUUUCUUGGAUAUUAGCAUCAUCACCAUGUUGGAGCUUAUUGAGUUUCUUUUUCAAGUGUGUGUUCCAGUAGUUCUUAACAUCAUUGUCAGUUCUUUCAGGAAGAUAAGAAGUUAUGGCUGCCCAUCUGCACGAAAACAAAUAGAACACAACUACUCAUUUCCAUGCUCUCUCAAAGACACUAAAUUAAUAAAUUUGUCAUUCUACAUUAAGUGUUGGAAUCCAAUCUCGUCCUUGACUCUUCAUGAAAAUUGUAUUUGUGUUCUAGGCAAGUGAUGAUUGAUCUAGCCCUAAUUUGUGCACGCGAAAUGAAUGGUAUCAUACCGAUUUCCAAGAAGUUCUUGGAGGUGGAUAAUAAUCUUCUCCUCAUGUUCAGUGAAGUUGCCCCGUUUGAUCCCCGGCCGGAGGUAAUUAUUCCAUCUGAGCCUGCAACUCUUACUGCACCUAAGCAAACCUGAUCAAAAACACCAAAAAACAAGAAUUCGAGAAUAAUUAUAUAACAAAUUAUUCAAGAAAAAGACUGAUCUAAACGUGUCAUGGGUAUUCAAGACGGGCGGUGGUGGAGCAGAAGUAUAUUAAAUUCAACUCUUUAAUGAUCCUAAUUCCUUAACAACCAUAAACCCGAAAAAAAAAAAAAAAAGGUUUACCAGCGUUAGAAGGAACAGCCCUCCAAUUCCCAGGUCCACGUUCUUGAAUGUAUGAAACCAGGAUGAUAUCUUCUUCCGGAGUCCAUGGCCCCUUCUUUACACCUAAUUUAUCACAGCAAGGUUGUCUGCCCAUAUUAAAAACUUAUUCAAAUCAGUCCUUCAGAAGGAGACUUUUUUCAUACAAAUUCUUUUCUCUCUAGUUUCUGAGGGAGGUCAUGGUGAGUAGAAAAAUAUGCAGAGAGACAGGCUUCUGAUUGAGAGUGCGGACUUUGUCUAUUUGUGAUAUAUAAAGAAGAGACAAGUACGUUGACCAUUCAUCGAAAAUUGAGGGUAAUGUGGUGCGGAAAACUAUACCCGAAUUAACUCAAUAUCAUAUUUUGUCCAACAAAUAUUGGGACAAAAUAUGAUAUUAUAGGCACAAUAUGAAAUAUAGAGAUCACAAAAACACAAGAAAAAUGUAAUUUAUGAAUAAUGAAGACUUUAUUAUAAUAUAUGGAGAAUUAAAACAAAGAUUUUGUGAUUACACUAUUUCUAACUUUUAGCGAGUUUAAAACAACAAUUUUCUAAAUUGUAAAAAGAGCCAAAUAUAUAUAGGGAAUGUCCAAUCCCUAAUAGUAUAGUUAUAGAUAAAAAGGAAUGCUCACAAUACGUCAAAAUAAGAAACGGGUCUGGACCGGAUAAUUAAGCAACUCAAGUGCCCAGCUAGUGAAAUUACGACGACUUUUAUUUUCAAUCCAUAAUUUGAUCUCUUCAAGUUCAACACAAAUUUCAACUUCCAAUUCGAUUUAGAAAUCAACUAGAAUUUGCCAAACAAACUUCGAAUGAAAUUCCAAAUAAUAUUUCAAAUAGAAUUUGGGUCACACUUUAAUUCUAAUAAACUCAACAUUACACGAAUUCCACUGCAAUGAACAAAAUUUGAAAAUUCUCCAUUCAAAUACAAAGUCCACUGCAAAGAAUAAACUUCAAUUCUUUAACAAAAAUAUAAACGAAUUUCUCCAUAAAAAAUUUCAAACUGAAAAUAUUCUCUGUCUUCGCCAAUCCAACUGGAGGCAAAAAUGAUCUAAUAAUCACCAAAUACAGUUUAAAAAAGACCUAUAACAGAUUCACAAUUGAAUGCAUCAAAAGAAGAAACUUGGCUAGAAUCAACACCCUCAACCAGAUUCAAGCCAUCAACUAAAUCAGCAAAAUUGUGCUUAUGUGUAGGGCUCAAUUCGGCCCUUAUACCCACGAGCUCGACUCGUGGGCCGAGCCGAGUUUCAGCUCGCGAACUAGUGGAUUUUUUUAAAUAGAUAAAAUAUAAAUACUCCUUCAUUAUUUGGGCUUGGAUCGGCUACUUAAAUUUUGAGUAGGCGGAAUUAAAAAUUGUACAUGAACAACUUGUGACAUAUACAAUUUAAAAAAAAAUUAAAAGCAGUAUAAUAAAAUAACAAAUUUUGAUUACUAUGGUUAAAUUAAAUAUCAUUUAUUUGACGACAUAAAAUUUU
rnacentral:lncRNA from 1 species